rnacentral:lncRNA from 1 species
CCCCUCCACCUCGUCGCGCUGGAAGUGGGCCGAACUUCGACCUCUCCGCGCUCAGCUCCGACGAGGAGGAAGAAGAAGAAGAGUAAGAUUCCCUUGCUUGUUCUUGUAGUUCUUCAACUUGCUGAUCUUGUCUUGCAUCGGAUCUGAUCCACCCUGGGCUCUUCUUUUCAGGACUCUGGCCCAGAGGGCGGCGAAGAGGGCCAAGGCUCAGGUGGUGGUCAUCGAGGACGAGCCCACUGCGACGACAGGAGGCGCGCCCGAGACCACCUUGCCGGAUCCGGCCAUCACUUUGCAGAGCAGCCCCCAGCGCAGCCCCCAGCGUAAGCAUAUGGUUUACUUUCUGCUUCUGGGUGCGCGUGGUUGCUCUUUUCCUUUGUUGACAUCUGAUCACUGGUUUGUUUGUGCAGGAGCAGAACAGCUUCAUCAGGAGGGCGUGGUGAUCUCCUCCGACUCGUCGUCUGCUUCGACUACGCCACCAAGGGCGGACCCCCCAGCAAGGGAGCGUCCUCCGGUAAGGGCGGAGCCUCCGGCAAGGGAGGAGUCUCCGGCAAGGGACAGCGCUAACGAUCCACCGAUGGUGGAGGUCAUGACAGCAGAUCCUAGCACAGGUACUCCUUCUUGCCCGAAACUUUCCUUGUAGUCUUCUGCUGAUUUCUCUUCUCGGAUACUUGUUUGAUUUCUCCUUCUUCUCCGGUCGUCAGACCCACCCUCCGCGGAUCCGAUGGAGACCGAACCGGGUGGCGAGGAGGACGCGCGCAGCAAUACUGAUGAUGCCGCGGCCACCGAAGAAGGAGCCGGCGCUGACGUGCCUGCCAGCGAAGAGGCCGCCAAGGCUGCUGCCGAAGAAGCUGGCGGGGGAUCUGGCGAUCGCACUGACGGUCCUGAGGCCGCAGGAGCGCCAGGCGCUGCACCGACCGCCGAUCCCUCCGCCGCUGCCGCGGCGGCAGACUCCGAGGAGUCCCAGCCCGACGCCUAUCUGAAGGCCGGCGACGGCAUCUUCAUCAAGCUCCCCUGGGCGUCGAGCUCCAGGGCGCCGAUGGAAGGAGAAGCUCUGGAUGGGGAGGUGCUUGCCUCCGCCGGGUUGUCGAUCGUUGACGCGCCGGGAAGCAGCAGCGGCGAGCCUGAGGAGGAACGGCUGCUACGGAGGCUGCUGGCGCUCUACCGCGCCCGCCAAGUCAAGUUGGAGUCCCGGGAAGCGCUUGUCGCGAGGGCGAGCGUGGACAUAGAGAAGCGUGCGGAGGAGCUCCGGGGUCUUCUCCAAGAAACUCUCCGGGCCUUGGCGGAGGAGCGGGAGCAGCUUGCUGAAGAGCGGAAGGCCUUCCUCCUUGAGAAGGCUGAGGCUGAAGAGCAGCAGCGGCUCACCGGCGAGAAGCUGUACGCGCGAGAAGGCGAGCUGACUCAGCGGGAAGUGAACCUCAACAGCCACGAAGAGGAGCUUGCCGCGCGCGAACGGGCACUUGGCGGGACGCUCCAAGAGGCAAAGGAUGCGGCUGCGGCUGCCGAGGCCGCCAAGAAAGAAUUGGAGGCAAAGGUGGCGCAGCUAGAAGCUGAUCUGAAGGUUGGUGGCAAAGAGCUUGCCGCGCUCAAGCUAGAGCGUGAGAAGGACGCCCUUGCCCACGGUGAGCUGCAGGGCCGACUCGCCGAGAGGGGCAAGGAACUGAGCGCCGCCAAGGAUUCCAACGCAGAUCUGACGCUGAAGCUGGCCACCUUGACGGAGACGUUGGACAGCGCCAGGAAACGGGAGGCAGACUUGAAGAAAGACAUCAAGGCCAACGAUGCGCUGCUGGCGAGGGCCGCCGAAACCCAGAAUCUCCUCAGAGAUAUUGUGGCGCUCUGGACGGAGGGCCUCGUGAACGUUGCUGCAGUCAUUGAAGAGGAGCUGGUGCAGUUGGGGGUAGGAGGCUUCGUGUACUCCUCCGACGAGAACCUCCAACCCAGCGCCAAGCUCACUCUAUUCUUCAAAGGCGUGGCGGUGGCGCUCCAGCAACUCCGGGAACGGAUCCCAAAGAAGUUGGCCGACGAGUCACGCUCGAUUUGUGCCGGAGUCCUGGAGAAGGUGCUGGUGAAGGUGGCCUUCCACAGUCUGGGCCUCAACCUCACCAACGUCCUCAAGAGGCUGCCGGUGGACGCUGAUCUUGACGCACUUAAGGCCCUCGUCGCACCCAUUGUGGACAGGGUGAACGAGGUCAAAAGGGUUGACGGCGGUCGCGUAGAUUAGGCCGUCCGUUUUCUUCUUUUCUUGUCGCUGCCAGUCAUGUCAUGGGAACACUUUAUUAGAGGCGCGACAAGUUAUUUUUGUAAUAAAACUCUAUCUUAGGCAAAAAAUUGCUGUGUUACUUCCUUUACUCGACUCUUGGCUUUGUAUGGUUCUGCCCUACGCUUUCUAGGGAAACUUGCCGGCGCAGGCACCCUUGCCGCGAGCGCCGAGUGCGGAACUUCAGCAGCCUGCUGGCGGGGUCGCUACCGACAAGCAACCUUGUCGCAACUAGUUGCAGCUCACUUAAGUUGUUGAGCGGACUCGAAACAAAGUAAGGGCGCUAGCGGCUCACUUAAGUUGCUGAGCAGACUCGAAGCAAAGUAAGGGCGCUAGCAGCUCACUUAAGUUGUUGAGCGGACUCGAAACAAAGUAAAGGCGCAACUAGCUACGAGUUGGUUCCUCCGCGCACAGGUUUUCCAUACAAAGCACGGUCGUUCAAGGAAAAUAACUCAAAAACUUAAAAAACUGAUUGCUCAAGCUUUAGCAACUUAGCUUUUCUGUCGUCUACUUCCCGGCAAGGAGAAACUUUCUUGAAUGGCCUGGUCCACACAAUUAUCUUCUCCUCCCCCCCCCCCCGGUAAACCUUGUGGGCGAGGGAACCUUCCUUCUUUUGAGAAAGAAACAGAGAAAUAAAGUAAUGAUAUGGAGCCUUGGGCUCGUUAUUGCUUACCGGGGUCUGGUGCUGCACAAAGUGUCAGAUAACAUAUGCGAAAAAGGAUUAUAGCAUAAAAAACUGACAAGAUGUGCAGGGCACAUGAACUUUACUGGUGCACGGGGUCUGCGCCCGGCUUUGUACAAAGGAUUACAUGCAACAGCGGCAAGACUUGUACAAAAGGUGGUUGCCGGAAAAGCUUCCGGCAACCGCGCCCUACGGGUAAAACUUACGAAGAUGUUCAAUGUUCCAGGAGUUGCUCACCGGAAUGCCAUCUUCGGUCUCAAGGCGGACAGCGUCGGGCCUAGUGACUCGUUUCACCCGAUAAGGGCCUUCCCACUUUGGCGUCAACUUGUUGGAAUUCUUGGCGGACUGAACACGCCGAAGAACAAGGUCGCCUUCCUCGAAGCUUCUGGCUUUAACUUUGCGGCUAUGGUAGCGACGCAAAGCUUGCUGGUAGCGAGCGGCUCACACAGCAGCCUGAAGACGGUCUUCCUCAAGGAGCAGCGCGUCAUCUUGGCGCAACUGCUCUUGCUCGAGCUCAUCAUAAGCGAGCACUCGAGGUGACCCGUAAACGAGUUCUGCGGUGAGAACUGCCUCUGCUCCGUAGAUUAGAGUGAAGGGUGUCUGGCCAGUGGCUCGAUUUGGCGUCGUCCUGGUCGACCAAAGAACCACCGGCAGCUCCUCGAUCUAGUUUCUUCCACACUUGUGCAGCCUGUCGAAAGUUCUGGUCUUGAGCCCCCGCAGCACUUCAGCGUUUGCCCUCUCCGCUUGACCGUUGCUUCUCGGGUGAGCAACAGAAGCGAAGCAGACCUUGGCGCCAAGAUCUUGGACAUACUGCAUGAAGGUGCGGCUCGUAAAUUGCGUGUCGUUGUGAGUGAUGAUCCUGUUAGGAACCCCGAAACGACAAACAAUCGACCUGAAGAACUUGACUGCUGACUGUGCUAUCACCUUCCUCACUGGUUCCACUUCCGGCCACUUUGUGAACUUGUCGAUUGCAACGUACAAGAACUCAAAGCCCCCGACAGCUCGGGGGAAGGGGCCGAGGAUGUCAAGCGCCCAGACCGAAAAUGGCCAGGAUAAAGGGAUCGUCUGGAGAGCUUGAGCUGGCUGGUGUAUCUGUUUGGAAUGGAACUGGCACGCUUCACACUUGGUUACUUGUGCAGUUGCAUCCUGGAGGGCUGUCGGCCAGAAGAAACCUUGUCGGAAUGCUUUGCCGGCAAGUGCUCUUGCGCCAAUGUGGUGACCACAUAUGCCUCCAUGUAUCUCUGCCAACAGCUGUUGUCCAUCUUCCCGGCGAAUGCACUUCAAUUUCACACCGUUGAGUCUUAUUCUGUACAGUGUGUUGUCGACAAACUUGUACAUACUUGACUGUCGGGCUACUCUUUCCGCUUCUUCUUGCUCUUCGGGAAGCUCUCCUGUCUGAAGGAAACGGACAAUCUGCUGCGCCCAUGCUGGAGCUUGUGGCUCGACAACAAGGACUAAAGUCGUAUAUGUUGCUGCGGGAACAUCCUCUUCCACGGCAAGAACCUGCAGCUCUGCCGGAGCGUGAUAUUCCCCGGCAAGCUUGCCGGAGCAAAACUUGUCGGGAGCGUUUGCUUCAACGGAACAAACCAAGAGGUUCGCCGGAGCAGACUGCUCCUCAGCACUCUUGGCGUCGAUCUUGGGGACCUUCUUGGCGGCGGCUUCGGGAAGCUCUGCCGGAAAGUAGUCACCAGAAACCAACUUCCUCUUCUUUCUCUGUCCAGUCGACAGUGUUACGGAUGGUUGAGUCAGCUUGAGCACAAAAAUCCCUGGUUCCACAAGUAACUUUAGUGCUGCGCACUUUGACAGGCCGUCAGCAAUAUCGUUCUGAGCUCGUGGAACGUGCUCCAUUUGUAGGCCGUCAAAGUGUUCUUCUAGCUUUCUCACUUCAUCAACAUAAGCUUCCAUCAAUGGACUCUGGUAGUUCUUGUUCACUUGGCGGACGACAAGCUGCGAGUCACCCCUUACAAUGAGUUUCUUGAUCCCAAGGUCAGCUGCGAUUCUGAGGCCGGCAAGCAAACCCUCAUACUCUGCAGUAUUGUUCGUUGCUUGCUCCUUGGGAAAAUGCAUCUGAACUACGUACUUGAGGUGCUCUCCGGUGGGUGCGAUAAGCAGCACGCCAGCACCGGCGCCUUGCAGCGAGAAGGCACCAUCAAAGUACAUCAGCCACUCUUUGCUUGUCUCCUUGACGGGGAUGCUUGUCUCUGGAAUUUCUUCGUCUGGGGUUGGCGUCCAUUCUGCUAUGAACUCUGCCAAUGCCCUGCUUUGGAUCGUUGCAGUGCUCUCAAACUUGAGGCCAAAGCUUGACAGUUCCAAUGCCCACUCAACAAUCCUGCCUGUUGCUUCUGGAUUCUGCAGUAUCCUCUUCAGCGGAAAGCGAGUGACAACUGUUAUCUCAUGUGCCUGGAAGUAAUGGCGCGGCUUUCUUGAGGCCAUGAGAAGGCCGAAAAGCAAUUUCUGUACACCAGAAUACCUUGAUCUAGCCCCCUGUAGAAGGGAACUGACAAAGUAAACUGGGCGCUGCACCAUUUUCCUGUGUACCUCCUUGCACGUCUGCGCAGAUUCAUCUUUGUCGGGACCAGAGCUUGUCGGCGAAGCCCCCUGCUUGUCGCUGGAUUCACUUGUCGCGGUUGCUGGCUCAUCAUCCGCCUCCCUCUCCGCUACUAACGCAGCACUAACCACUUGAUUGGUUGCCGCCAGAUAUAGCAGCAAUUUCUCUUGUGGCUUAGGUGCGACAAGUAUUGGAGUGGAGGACAGGUACCUCUUCAAGUCCUGCAGCGCAUCCUCCGCUUCCGGAGUCCAUUUCAUUGGACCUACCUUUUUCAAUAUUUUGAAAAACGGCAGGGCGCGCUCAGCAGACUUAGAGAUAAACCUGCUGAGAGCAGCCACGCAACCGGCAAGCCUUCGCACAUCCUUGACGCGCUUCGAUGCUUCAAUCUGCUCGAUGGCCUUGAUCUUGUCGGGGUUGGCUUCAAUUCCCCGCUGAGACACAAAGAACCCGAGAAGCUUGCCGGAAGGGACUCCAAACACGCACUUCUCAGGGUUGAGCUUGAGGUUGAUCUUGCGCAGAUUUGCAAAAGUUUCUUCUAAAUCUUGGAUCAGGGUAGCCUUGUCCUUGCUCUUGACCACUAUAUCAUCCAUGUAGGCUUCCACAUUUCUGUGUAUCUGUGGCUCAAAAGCGACAUGGACUACCCUUGCAAAUGUUGAACCAGCAUUCUUCAACCCAAAGGGCAUCCGUACAAAACAGUAUGUGCCGCAAGGGGUGAUAAAUGCGGUUUUUUCCUCAUCUUCUUCUGCCAUGAAGAUUUGAUGGUAUCCUGAGUAUGCAUCAAGAAAUGAAAGCAAAUCACAUCCAGCUGUGGAGUCAACAAUCUGGUCAUUGCGCGGCAAGGGAAAUGGAUCUUUGGGACAAGCUUUAUUGACAUCAGUGAAGUCUAUACAAAGCCUCCAUUUCCCGUUCGCCUUGCGCACGACUACAGGAUUGGCCAACCACGUGGGAUGGAGCACUCCUCUGACAAGGCCUGUUGCUUCCAAUUUCCUGAUCUCUUGUGCAAUGAACUCUUGGCGCUCCACUGCUUGCUUCCUGACUCUCUGCUUGACGGGCCGCGCAUGAGGACAGACGGCAAGGUGGUGCUCGAUUACUUUCCUGGGAACACCGGGGAGCUCGAUGGUGCGUCCUCGACGGUAGCGCAGCACUCCGAAGAGGUGCGCUUGCCGGAGUGGGCAUCAGAGCUCUUGCCGGACUUUGUCUUCUUCUUCCCCCCGGGAGCUUCAGCGGCAAGUGUGUUGUGAUCAGCUGCGGCUACUGCUUCCCGGUAGAUCUUGUUGGCGCAGAUAAGGGCAUCCUUCUUGUCGUCGGGGACAGAGAUGACACUUAUCGGGCCUGGCAUCUUGAGCAUGUUGUAUGCAUAGUGAGAGGCUGCCAUAAAUUUGGCGAGCGCUGGACGGCCAAGGAUCCCAUUGUAGGGUAAUGGAAAAUCGGCAACGUCAAAUGUGACCCUCUCAGUUCUGAAGUUCAUCUCGCUGCCAAAUGUGACCGGCAGCGUGAUCUUUCCCUUCGGCUUGCUUCUUCCCGGGCUGAUUCCUUGGAAUGUGCCGGUCUCCUCGAGCUCGCUGUCAGGGAUCUGGAGUUUCUGAAGGACCGCGGAGGAGAUCAGAUUCAAGCCGGCCCCGCCAUCAACUAGCAUCUUCGUGACCUUGAGGUUGCGGAUAGUUGGUGAAACCAACAUCGGCAAGCACCCGACCGCAGUUACGCGAUCAGGGUGAUCCUCAAUGUCGAAGAUGAUAGGCGCGCUGGACCAUUUCAGAGGCUUGCGUGACUCUACGGAUGGUUCCGCUGCAUUAACCUCCCGCAUCCACUGCUUGAGUUGGCGGUGCGAAGUAUGCAGAGAAGCACCACCGUCGACGCACAGGACCUCUGUAGCUUUCUGAAAUUCCUACUCAUCGGCCUCAUCAUCAUCCACGUCUUCAUAAUCAUCGUCGUCUUCAUCCUUGUCGCGGCCCCAGGGAGGCCUAUCUCCUUGCCGCUGCUUGGCCUUGCCGCGGCGUCCUCCUCGGCCAGGACGUUUCUUGCCGGAUCCACCAGUUCCUUCCUGGGCCUUCUCCUUGUCGCGCCGCUCGUACUCAGCGUUCUGUUGCUCAACAAGCUGUUCGACUUUCUUGCAGUUCUGGAGAUCGUGACCCUUGGUGCGGUGAAUUUUGCAAUACUGCUUGCCGGAGUUGUCCUGCUUGUCAGCGGCCGCCACAGGCUGGGCCUCCUUAUCGGAGCCACCAGCUUUAGCUUCCUUGGCGCCACCUCCGUUGCCGGUCAGCUCGACAGCUAGCACUUCCUUGCCCUUUUUCCUUCUGUUGUUCCACCGCCGGCCUUUCCUUGUCGGGGCGGCAUCCUCACUGUCGGAUCCUCCUGCUCCUGUACUCUCUCCGGGGAGCCUCCUCCCCUCUUCAGCGCGUGCAAACUUGUCGGCAAGGGCGUAAAGCUCGCUGACGUCUCUGAUCUUACACAUCGCCAUCUCCUCCCUCAUCCUUCGGUUUCGCACGUUCUGAUGGAACGCGCUGAUGAUCGCGGCAGGGUGGAUGUCUGGGAUGUUGUGCUGUACAAGGCUGAAUCUCUGAAUGUACUUGCGCAGUGGCUCUCCUUCCUUCUGGGCAAGCAGAUGAAGAUCCCUCUCUUGGCCAUGUGGCUUGUGGCCGCCUGUAAAGGCGCCGACAAACUGAUGGCAUAAAUCUGCCCAAGAGGAGAUGGAAUUGUCUGGCAAGUGCAUGAGCCAGGACCUGACGUUGGGCUUGAGUACCAGCGGGAAGUAGUUGGCAAGGAUCUUGUCGUCCCGUCUCCCGGCAGCCUGCACCGCGAUGGUGUAGAUGCUGAGAAACUCCGACGGAUGCGUCUUGCCGUCGUACUUCUCUGGUACGUCUGGUUUGAAAUUCUUUGUGCUGGGCCACUGGACUUGCCGUAGCUCACGGGUGAACGCAGGACAACCUGCCGUGUACGGCAGAUCGCCUGGUUCCCCUGGCGCAUGCAUAUCAACAGAGGGCCCAGCGCGCUUGUCGGAUUGACGUCGCGCUUCUCUUCGGCGCUUGAUGCGGGUUCGAGCGUCUUCUUGUUGUCGUUCAUGGAGAACUUGGCGCUGGUCGCGACGAGCUCGCGGGUCCGAUGACGCGGUGGAGCCGCUGUCGGGGUGGACCCGGCGAGUCGGCGAUUUUGGCCUUCGUAGUGGAGAGUGCAUGGAAGUCGUGCCUCCCCCGGUCUUGUUGCCAUCGGCUCGCGUCCGGCUGUCCUGCCGCGGCAGCGAGGUGCUUGGUCGCCGCGCAGUGUCGCUGUUGGCGAAGCCGAUGAGGCUCUGGAUAGUGGCCCUCCAUUCGUCGGUCUUGUCCGCCGUCGGAGGAUAAUCUAGGAGCAGUUGAGCUCGCGCCAAGGCUUCUGCUGGGGUUGUGGGCAGCGGAGGUGAACGGUGCGAGGAGUGGGGCGUGCUCGGACUCCUAACCACGUUAGAAGGAGCAGUGCCCCGUCCAGGCGACCGUACUUCGCUCGAGCCAGCAUGUUGACGUGCAUGUUGGUCUUGAGCGCCACGAGAACCACCAGCUUGAUCUUGGCCCAGCGGACGUAUGGCGCUGCGAACGCCAUGACGCUGCUGGUCCCACGCCUCCUGAGAGGGACGCGGUGCGCGCAUGGACGCCGAGGUCUGUGCCGCCUUGUCCUUGGACUUGGCCGCACUGAGGGCUCCCUCGUCGACGCCCAUUCUUCCGCCGACGUCCACUCCACCACCCAUUUGCUCCGGAGGUGGUGAAAGCGACGCAGAUGGAACAGCUGCCUCCGAGUCCUUCUUCUUCGGUGGCAUGUCGAUGAAGACGAUGAAGAUUUAGCUCGUGUGCACGCCGGAUCGGGUUCGCACGAUCUCGACUUCCCCUACCUGGCGCGCCAAAGAUGUCGGGGAAGCUGAUCCACCAACACCUAUGGGGACCGGGCCCCUUUCGGUUCGGAGGGGGGCGGAGGCCGCACAAAGAGCGGAUCGAGGCGGUACACGCGAGCGGUUUUACCCAGCUUCGGGCCGCACGGAUGUGUAUUGAAUUCUUGCUCAGGAGCGAUGGACGCUGCCAGACCGAGUGUGAGAGUGUUCCUGAUGUUUCGAAUGAGCCGAACCUCCUCCACGAUGCGCCUGGGCCUCCUUUUAUACUUUCAAGGGGUCACCGACAGGUGGCAACAUAGACUAGAAGGGUAAAAAUGGAAAAGGAUGCGGUAGGUACAGCUACCGCUACUGUGGACACAGUGCACCCUACCUAACUCUGACGGCAGGGGACAAGGUCAUUGAAUGCCCGUCUGAGUUGCCUAAACAGUGCAAAAAGUGACCGUUAGGAGCGCCACCAUUUGCCACGAUGGCCUUCUCUUCAUCUCCGCUUGCCACCGCGCACCCCUAGCUGUGCAGCCUCCUGCCACGUGUGCUUGGAAGAGUCCUAGAGCGACACGUUAACAGGUGUGCUGGAGCGCGGGCACGAAGUGGGGGUUUCCCGCGGCAAGCUCCUUGCCGCGGUCGUCAUCUUGUCGUGUUUGGGAGCUUGUUGCUCACCGGGCCUUGCCGGGACGCAGGGCGCGUCGCGGCAAGCUUUCUUAGUAUGCCUUGAGUGGCCUUCCUGGCAAGCUCCUCUUGCCGGGGUCUUGUCUCUUCCCGACAAGAUCCUCUUGCCGGGGCCUGGGUUGGCCUUCCCGGCAAGCUCCUCUUGCCGGGGCCUUGGUUGGCCUUCCCGACAAGCUCCUCUUGCCGGGGCCUUGGUUUGAGUACUUUGUUCUUGAAUGGUCUUCAAGGGAACCACGGAGGGUCUUGGCGGUCACCCGGCAAGCCUUGCCGCGGGAUGCUGCGACCGCCCGUGCACAAGUUCGGGGUACUAGGGUACCCCUACUCUAGUACACCGACACGGAGAUGUUUUAUAGAAGUUAGGGGAUGAUCCGGAUCCAACGGUCAUGACCGUGCGGGUCGGGUUCGGAAGAUGGUUUCGGACGCGUGUGAGGGGUCUGUGCGCUGUGCAGAGAAACAAGGCGAUCGCGUGCAAGGGGGUGGUUGGUCUCAGAACGGUCAAAGGAGGUAAGGGGAACACGGCAACUACGAACGGGUGCGAGUUUUAUGAAAACAUAUGGAUGCGAUGCAAAUGAUGCUAUGAGAUGAGAUGCAUGACAUGAACAAAAUGCAAAAUGAAAAAAAAACCGACCAUGAAGGAAUUAUCAUAUUGCAUCUCUGGAAAAUGCAAGAGUUGUAGUUACGAAUUUGGAAAGUUACAUCCAGGGCAUUACACUAAUGCCAGAAUUCGACGACGAGGCCGUUCCACCAAAGAAUAAUACGACCAGGGGACCAGACGUACCGCUUCACCACUGCAACAGAACGGCUACUGACGCCGCGCAUGAUCUACACGAGCAUCUGGAUAAGCAAGCCAGUGUGGCCAGGUCCAUCUACGGAUCUAAAAGACACACCCCGGCGAGGGACUAUGGUCACCACAACAAUCAUAUAAACCAAAUACCAGUUCGGAAUAAGCUCCGGACACAGCAACAGCCAACUGCAUGCCACAGCGCGUCCAGAUACAGAGGGGCUGCUCACCCCCUGUGCUUCACCGAAGAAGUACUGGACCAUGAAUUCCCGCAAGGUUUCAAACCUUUGAACAUAGAGGCAUGCGACGGAACAACAGACCCAGGGGUCUCGAUCGAGGAUUUUAUCCUGCAUAUUCACAUGGCUCGUGGGGAUGACCUCCACGCCAUCAAAUACCUUCCCCUCAAGUUGAAGGGACCAGCUCGACACUGGUUGAAAAGCCUCCCUGAAAAUUCAAUUGGGAGUUGGGAGGAACUCGAGGACGCUUUCAGGGCCAAUUUUCAAGGGACUUAUGUCCGGCCUCCGGAUGCGGACGAUCUAAGUCACAUAAUCCAACAGCCUGGAGAGUCUGCCCACAAGCUUUGGAACAGAUUCCUCACUAAGAAGAAUUAAAUUGUCGAUUGUCCGGACGCCGAAGCCUUAGCGGCAUUCAAACACAUCAUCCGGGACGAAUGGCUCGCCAGACACCUCGGCGAAGAAAAGCCAAGGACAAUGGCAGCCUUAACAAGCCUUAUGACCCGCUUUUGCGCGGGUGAAGAUAGCUGGCUAGACCGUAAAGGCACCAGCAACCCCAGCACAUCCGACAUAAGGGAUGGCAAUGGGAAGCCAUCUCGUAAUAAACACAAAUGCCAAAACAAGGAAGAGAGCCCGGACAAUACAACGGUCAAUGCCGGAUUCAGGGGCUCUUGGCCUAAUCAGCAAAAUAAGCCAUUUAAAGGCAGUAAAGAGGGACCAUCCGGUCUGAACAGAGUCCUAAACAGACUGUGCCAAAUUCAUGGCACCCCAGAGAAACCUGCGAACCACACGCAUAGAGAAUGUUGGGUCUUCAAGUAGGCCGGCAAAUUAAAAGCCGAACACAAUGGGAGGGAAACUCCAAGUGAAGACGAGGAUGAACCUCGCUAGCCAAACACUGGGGGACAAAAAAAAUUCCCGCCAGAGGUUAAAAUAGUAAACAUGAUCCACGGACUCACACAUCCAAGAUAGGGCACGAACGCGCGCUCAAAGACGCGCACGAUAUUGAGCCCAUCGUACCCACAUCUAACUACUGGACGUCUUAUCCGAUCACCUUCGAUCACACGGACGGCCGAACUAGUAUUCGGCGCGGAUGAUCAGAGGCCUUGGUGCUUGACCCAAUAAUCAACGGAUACCGUCUCACCCAUUUCCUCAUGGACGGCGGCAGUAGUCUCAAUCUAAUAUACGAGGACACUGUUCACAGGAUGAGGAUAAACCUAUCCAGAAUCAGCCAAAGCAACACCACCUUUGAAGGGGUGAUACCAGGCAUUGAAGCCUACGGCAGGGGCUCCGUCGUACUGGAGGUAACAUUUGGCUCCCUGGGCAACUCCAGAAGCGAAGAACUACUCUUCACUAUUGCACCCUUCCAAAGCGGCUAUCAUGCACUUCUUGGAAGAAUGGCCUUCGCCCGCUUCAAUGCAUUGCCGCACUAUGGAUACCCUACACUCAAGAUGCCCGGUCCAUGUGGCAUCAUCACCGUUAGCGGAAUCAUAGAGCGCUCUUCACGCGCAGAGGAACAUACGACGGCCCUGGCGGCCGGACUAUGAGCAGCCUCCAAUAUAAGAAAACAUGACUGGUCAUUAAGACCACAGACACAGUUAGACGAGUCCGGUAGCCCUGAUAAAAUUAAACCAGGGCUCCGUAUAUGUAAUCCCAUAGCGGACACCGGGGGCUAUAAAUAUUUAAUACAGCCCCACACUUGGCUCAACCUUAUUGGCAGGCCAACAUCUUACACUUUUACUAUCCAUCGCAUACUUAAGUUGUACUCUCCUACGAGUUUUCCUUUUUCCACAGACAACGUUCGCGCGAUACCCUUCCAGGAUACGGCACAAUGGAGGCCAAGGCGCAGACGUGCAGCAGGGCCCCGUUCAACAGGUUUCUUUUUAGAUUAAGCCCCUUUGUAAACCUUUUCUAUUGCCUCUUGUUGUUUAACCAUCCCAUGGGUUCCAUACCCAUAGAGGAUACUGUCUUUAUUGGCAUUUCGCCACGACAUAUUACCGCACGUACCUGGAAACACAGGGUUCAUAAUGAAUGGGCAUUCUUGAGCCCAUCUUCUGUUAUAAAGCCCAAAUACCUUCGGGAGUGUUUGGCGGCACGAGUUUGGCCUUAUAUGCAUCAGCUCCAAAUCAUGUCUUCGGUCAAAUGUUGGGUUUGCCCGGCUCCUGGGUUUGCCGCCUUAUGUUCCGUUAUUAUCGGCUAAGGCGGCCAAAGGAGAACUACUGUGAUUGUGCCCUAGUUAUUUCGGAUGAGCACCUCAGUAGAGAAAGCCGAAAAUUGACUGUCAUGAUGCAGCGAGAGACUGUUCAACCACUCAAAGACUCACCGGAAUCUUUAGGAUUCCUCCGCAUUAACGAAGGGCCAUUUCCCAGCCAUGUGCAUACGCGCCCGUAUUCGGAUGCACGCGAAGGUACCAGGGGCUACAUAGUAGCCCCACCUUUAGACUCCCACGGCUAAGCGAAAGUGUUACAGCUAUAUAGUCCGGUUGCCUAGUUCGAUGUGCGAUCACCUCCUUAAUGGACCAAGACGUUGGAUCAAGUGUGAUUAAGCAUAUUUCUCGUGAACACCCCCGCAUUGUAUGCAUGGGGGCUGAAGCCAACGACUGCUAACUUUCGGAUUACUUAUAUACAUAUAUAAAAACGGCCGCACAGGGGACACAAUCAUCUUUUCGGGCAAAAAGUAUAAAUAUAGCCUCAUAAUCAAAAUAAACAUUGUUUUACAAUGAUUCGAUUUAUCACUCGAACAAGACAUUCUUCGAGCACUGCGCCUCUAUUAGCCGGGCACCUUCUGUGACCUGCGCCAAGUAGUGCUCGGCCGGAUAUUAGCCCCCCGCCGGAUCCUGGGUCGCUACAAUGGCGGCCUCCAUAUAUGUCCAAUAGGCUUUAACGCGGGCAAGAGCCAUUCGUGCACCCUCUAUGCACGCCGACCUCCUCAUGGCAUCGAUCCAAGGCACGGCCCCAAGGAAUUGUUGCACCAAACCAAAGUAGCUGUCCGGCUUAGGCCCCUUCGGCCAAAGAUGGUCUAUUAUAGACCGCAUUACAAGCCCGGACAGCAUGUGAAGCUCCGCCACAGUAGCCAUCUUCUCAUUUAACGGCAGUGGGCGAGUGGGAGCAUUGAAUUGCGACCAGAAAAGCUUCUCUACUUCCUUAUCACCUUGAUCCUCGAAGAACUUGGCAGCGUCAGCCGUACUAUUCGCCAAGUCCGCAUAUGCGUCGGCCAGACUCCAGCGUCCAACCUGGGGAGCAUACUUCGGAUCCAAAAACUUCGUCCGCAGUAAGUAGGAGCCCCCAGCCACGAUUUUGUCGACCUAUUUGAGCUCCUCCCGCAUACCCCGAAUCUCGGUCCGCAUCUCCUUGGUGGCAUUAAGUGCCUUGUCCAGCUCGGCGGAGCUAGCCUUAUUCUCCUUUUCAAGGAGUACAUACCGGUCGGGAGCAUUUUUUAACUCCAUAGACAUUCCGUCUAUCUUUUCCUCGCUUCGGCGAUGAGCAGCCUGUUCGGCUCUCAAUUCUUCGGCCGCCUUUAGGGUAGCCGCAUUGCUAGCCCGAGCUUGUUCCCUGGCUUGAGCAAGUUCCGCCCUCAGGGCUUCCACGGUAGCAGCACCAUCUGCAAUACAAACACAUUGCAUUAAUAUCAUGCCCCUCCCGCAUUUUCCUAUACAAACUUAACAAGGGAAGCAGAGCACAUACCCUGUGACUCUUCCAGCCUCUUGUUCAACAGCGUGAUAUCGGCAUUGAUAGAUCUGAUCUGCCUCCUUAGUUCGGCAACUUCAACAGACUGGUCGGCUACCGGAUCCAUAGAUACCUGCGCACAUGUACAGCGCAGCCAUUACUAUAUGAUCCCCUGUUUGCCGCCUAUGGCGGGCAACCAGAGUCUCAGGGGCUACUAUCCAUAUGGAGCACACCUAGCGCGUGCCUCACAACCAAAAAAUAGUGCAUUUUUCACUACAUACCUCAAAACCUUUGAGCGGGCUCGUAAAUGCCUCAUUCAAACCGCUUGUAGCGGAUGAAAUCUUUGUGAGCACCAUGUUCAUUAAUGAGCGGUGCUCCUCCGAGAACGCAGCUCGCUCCAGAAGACCUGUCGGUACGUCCGGCCGGACAUCGAGCUGUGCCGGACCCUUUUCAUCGCCCCCCGUGGGAGCCAAAUGCUCCGGGCUUAGGGCAUCUGACAUAUUAGCUUCCGGCUUCGGCUGAUCCGGACUCCUCCGUGACGACACCUCAGUGUUGCCCGCUUCAUGAGGCGGAGAGGUGGGUGGGGUCUCACUCUCCAUCAUCUCCGGAGGAAGAUCCCCUGAAGAAGUACUCUUUUGAGAAGAGCUGCUAGCCGGACUGCAAAAGACGAAGUCCUGGUUAUGGAUCUCGGAGAAACACCAUACCUUCGAAUUAACGAUUAACUUACAGCUCGGUGGAGGGCUGGCCCAUUGGUGGGCACGACGCGGUGAGGGUGCCCGUCGGGGCAGGGCCCCCUGGUAAUACCUUCUUCCCUUGAUUGGGCAUCUCCGUCUCUAAGUCUUCGGAGGCGGCCCUUUUCCUCCCGUGCGGGGAGGAGGCUUUAGCCUCCCCUUCCCGACUAUCCUCCUCAGGGGAGGUAACGACUCCCCCGGUUUGGAUGCGUAGUGUGUGAAGUUCGGCUUCACUGCCCUUUCCUUCGCCUUUCCCUGAGGGGAUUUUGUUGAGCACCCGGCCAAGCAUCUUGGCAACAGUUGGACCAGGCGAGCCUUCAAGAAGUGCAGCCGGACACCUGAUUCUCUCCGCCUUGUUGAGCCAUUCCUGGCCACGAAGGGUUUUUCAGAAUAAUGGUUAUGACAAAUAUAAACGAAGUGUCUGGCUUUAAGGUUACUUACUUGGGCAUCUAGGCGAUUGCAGCUUAGGCCCGCAUCCUCGGUGGUGUCUAGGCACUUUACUUGUGGUCCGAAGAAUAAUUUACACAUCCCUUCGAGCUUCAGGCCGAAGAAGUGCUUAAUAGUCCACGGACCCUCCGGAUUGAACUCCCACAUCCGGAGAGGCCGACGUUUGCACGGCAACAUCCGUCGGAUUAGCAACACUUGAAUUACGCUGACAAGAUUUAUGUCCCUCUCAAGAAGCUCCCGGAUGCGAUUCUGCAGUACUGGUACAUCGCCAGCGGGCCCCCAGUUCCGUCCAACGUUGGUCCGAGACACCAACUGUGACGGGUGAUGACCCACAAGUGUAGGGGAUCUAUCGUAGUUCUUUCGAUAAGUAAGAGUGUCAAACCCAACGGGGAGCAGAAGGAAAUGAUAAGCGGUUUUCAGUAAGGUUUUCUCUGGAAGCACUGAAAUAGUAGGUGAUAGAUAGAUUUGUGAUAAGAUAAAUAGUAACGAGCAAAAGUAAAUAAAGUAAAUAAAGUGCAGAAAGGUGCCCCAAUCCUUUAUGUAGCAAAGGAUAAGCCUGGACAAAUUCUAAUAAUGAGGAAGGAUCUCCCGAGGACACACUGGGAAUUAUCGUCAAGCUAGUUUUCAUCACGCUCAUAUGAUUCGCGUUCGGUACUUUGAUAAUUUGGUAUGUGGGUGGACCGGCACUUGGGUACUGCCCUAACUUGGACAAGCAUCCCACUUACGAUUAACCCCUAUUGCAAGCAUCCGCAACUACAAAAAGGAGUAUUAAGGUAAACCUAACCACAACAUUAAACAUAUGGGUCCAUAUCAACCCCUAACGAAGCAACGCAUAAACUAGGGUUUAAGCUUCUGUCACUCUAGCAACCCAUCAUCUACUUAUUACUUCCCUAUGCCUUCCUCUAGGCCCAAAUAAUGUUGAAGUGUCAUGUAGUCGACGUUCACAUAACACCACUAGAGGAGAGACAACAUACAUCUCAUCAAAAUAUCGAACGAAUACCAAAUUCACAUGACUACUAAUAGCAAGACUUCACCCAUGUCCUCGGGAACAAACGUAACUACUCACAAAGCAUAUUCAUGUUCAUAAUCAGGGGUGUAAUAAUAUGCAUUAAGGAUCUGAACAUAUGAUCUUCCACCAAGUAAACCAAUAAGUAUCAACUACAAGGAGUAAUCAACACUACUAGCAACCCACAGGUACCAAUUUGUGGUUUUGGAUACAAGAUUGGAUACAAGAGGUGAACUAGGUUUUGAGAGGAGAUGGUGCUGGUGAAGAUGUUGAUGGAGAUUGACCCCCUCCCGAUGAGAGGAUCGUUGGUGAUGACGUUGGUGAUGAUUUCCCCCUCCCGGAGGGAAGUUUCCCCGGCAGAACAGCUCCGCCAGAGCUCUAGACUGAUUCCGCCAAGGUUCCGCCUCGUGGCGGCGGAGUUUCGUCUUGUAAGCUUGUCCAUGAAUUUUUCCAGGACAAAACCCUUCAUAUAGCAGAAGAUGGACGUCGGCGGCCCACCAGGGGGCCCAGGAGAUAGGGGCGCGCCACCUGUCUCCCGGACAGGGUGUGGGACCCCUGGCCUAUUUCUUUUGCUCCUAAUUCCUUAAUAAAUCCAAAAAGUUGUUUCGUGGAGUCUCAAGUCUUUUGGAGUUGUGCAUAAUAGGUUUCCAACGUUUGCUCCUUUUCUAGCCAGAAUUCCAGCUGCCGGCAUUCCCCCUCUUCACGGUAAACCUUGUAAAAUAAGAGAGAAUAGCCAUAAGUAUUGAGAUAUAAUGUGUAAUAACAGCCCAUAAUGCAAUAAAUAUUUAUAUAAAAGCAUGAUGCAAAAUGGACGUAUCAACUCCCCCAAGCUUAGACCUCGCUUGUCCUCAAGCGAAACCGAAAUCAAAAAAUAUGUCCACAUAUUUAGAGAUUGAGGUGUCGAUAAAAAUAAAAAUACGGACAUGAGGGCAUCAUGAUCAUUCUAAUAACAGCAACAUAUAUGGAUUUUGUCAUAUGAUUUCCUAUGUUCAAGUGAUAAGUAAUUCACAAUGUCAAGUAUGGUUCAAAAACUUCGUUGGGAACUAACAAACUAUAAUCUCAGUCAUUGAAGCAAUUGCAAUUUAUUGUAACAUCAGAAAGAGUCACUAAUAGAGCUUCUCAGCAAGCUCACAUACUCAACUAUCUCGUAGUCUCCCAUAAUUGUUAACACUCACGCAAUACUUGUGGUUAUAGAGUUUCAGCCGAACACUGAGAAAGAUAGGGGCUUAUUGUGUUGCCUCCCAACGUAUUCACCUUUAGGUGAUGUCAACAAUAAUAGCCGAUGCCAACUUACAUCCAAUCGGAUAUAUAUAUCAUGAUCUUUCAAACACGAAGAGCUUGCCAAAGGAUAAAAUGAAAAAGGGAAAGGUGAGGAUCACCUUGACUCAAGUAUUAAAGUAAAACAUAAAGUAAAAGAUAGGCCCUUCGCAGAGGGAAGCAGAGGUUGUCAUGCGCUUUCAGGGUUGGAUACACAAAAUCUUAGUGCAAAAGAACAUCACUUUAUAUUGCCCCUUGUGUGUGGACCUUUAUUAUGCAAUCUGUCGCUUUUAUUACUUCCACAACAAGUUCGUACAAAGCUUAUUUUCUCUGCACUAAUAAGUCAUGCAUAUUUAGAGAGCAAUUUUUAUUGCUUGCACCGAUGACAACUUACUUGAAGGAUCUUACUCAAUCCAUAGGUAGGUAUGGUGGACUCUCAUGACAAAACUGGGUUUAAGGAUAUUUGGAAGCACAAGUAGUAUCUCUACUUGGUGCAAGGAGUCUUGGCUAGCAUGAGGGGGAAAGGCAAGCUCAACAUGUUUAGAAGGUCACUGACAAUAUACUUUAACUGAGAUGUCGGAAAACAUAAACCAUUACGUUGUCUUCCUUGUCCAACAUCAACUCUUUUAGCAUGUCAUACUUAAUGAGUGCUUCACAAUCAUAAAAGAUGUCCAAGAUAAUAUAUCUAUAUGUGAACCCCUCUUUCCUUAUCACUUCCUAUUAAUUACAAUGAUGACCAAAGCUACGUUCAUCAACUCUCAACAUUUUUAUGCCUCAUACUUUCUAUGUGUGAAGUUAUCACUAUCCAUAAGAUCAAUAUGAACUCUUUUAUUCUUUCUACUUUCUCAAGAUCAUAGCAACAUAGCAAAGCCCUUGACUCAACACUAAUCUUUAUUAUAGAUAGCACACGGAAUCUCUUACAAAAAGAGAUCACUACGUAAAACUCAAAACUACUUGAUAUCAAAACUUCGAACUAAUAGAUCAAGAUACUACUAAAAGGAUCGUACUAAAUAAAGCGGUAAAGAUAGGAGUGUGAUGGUGAUACGAUACUGGGGCACCUCCCCCAAGCUUGGCAGUUGCCAAGGGGAGUGCCCAUACCCAUGUGAUUAUUUCUUUGGAGGUGAUGGAGGUGGUGAUGAUAUCGGUGGAUAAUCGCACAUCAAGCGUAAAAGCUCCUCCAACUUGCGGAUGAUGCCCUUGAGCCCAGCAAUAUGAUCCUUCAACAAAAUAUUCUCAUGUGUGAGAUACUUGUUUUGUAUGCGGGCUAACUCAAUCAUCUUGAAAGCUUCAAUCUCUGUUGGAGUGAAAAGGUUAGGUAAAGGGUGAGGGAUGUCUUCUUCUUUCACCACCGAAGCUUGAACCUCCAUAGCCUUCUUGAUCCCUUCACCCUUGUUACUCUCUUCCGGUUCCUCUCUUUUCAACUCUAUGUUCAAUAGCCAGGCAUCCUUGUCUUCGUUGUUGUAGUAGGGAGAAGUCAUGGUGCUCUAAAUCUGCAACAGGAACAGCUUGAAACGAAAACAGAGGAUAUUUGCGUGAUACGGUGGUCAAAACCUUCGGGAGUAUAUAUAAUGAAAUUUUACCGACCAAAAUACGUAACUUACAAGAAAACGGGGUCCGGGAGGCACACGAGGUGCCCACGAGACAGGGGGCGCGCCCUACAGGGGGGGGCUCCUCUCUCGUGAGAGCCUCGUGUCCCUUUCGGACUACUUCUUUCUUCCUAAAAUCCUUAAAUAAUCCAAAACUGAUGAAAAUUGCCAUUAGAGUUGUUUUGGAGUCGGUUUACUUACUGUACCAUGUAACUAUGCCUUUUCGGAGUCUGGAACAUUCUGGAAAGUGUCUUUUAUGUAUUCCUUAGGGGUUAUGGUUUCAAUAAUAUUGGUUUCAACAUUGAUAGGAUUACCUGAAAUAUAAUGUUUAAUUCUUUGACCGUUUACCACCCUCGGCUUUGUGCCUUCAAAGUUGUUGAUUGUUAUAGCACCACAACGAUAGACCUCCUCGGUAACGUAGGGACCUUCCCAUUUUGAGAGAAGUUUUCCUGCAAAAAAUCUUAAACGAGAGUUGAACAAUAACACAUAAUCUCCUAGGUUAAACUCAUGCUUUUGUAUCCUCUUAUCAUGCCAGCGUUUGACUUUUUCUUUGAAAAGCUUAGCAUUCUCAUAUGCUUGGGUUCUCCAUUCAUCAAGUGAGCUAAUAUCAAAUAACCUUUUCUCACCGGCAAGUUUGAAGUCAUAAUUAAGCUCUUUAAUAGCCCAAUAUGCUUUGUGUUCAAGUUCAAGAGGUAAAUGACAUGCUUUAGCAUAAACUAUUUUAUAUGGAGACAUACCCAUAGGAUUUUUGUAUGCAGUUCUAUAGGCCCAUAAUGCAUCAUCAAGUUUUUUGGACCAAUUCUUUCUAGAUCUAUUCACAGUCUUUUGCAAAAUUAAUUUGAGCUCUUUAUUGCUCAACUCUACUUGACCACUAGACUGCGGGUGAUAAGGAGAUGUGAUUCUAUGAUUGACAUCAUACUUAGCAAGCAUCUUACAGAAAGCACCAUGAAUAAAGUGUGAACCACCAUCAGCCAUAAGAUAUCUAGGGACUCCAAACCUCGGAAAAAUAACUUCUUUAAGCAUUUUAAUAUAAGUGUUAUGAUCACCACUACUAGUUGGAAUAGAUUCUACCCACUUAGUAACGUAAUCAACAGCAACUAAAAUAUGUGUAUAACCAUUGGAGGAAGGAAAAGGUCCCAUAUAAUCAAAGCCCCAAACAUCAAACGGUUCAAUAACAAGAGAAUAAUUCAUAGGCAUUUCUUGACAUCUACUGAUGUUACCUAUUCUUUGACAUUCAUCACAAGAUACGACAAACUUACGAGCAUCUUUGAAAAGAGUAGGCCAAUAAAAACCAGAUUGUAGUACCUUGUGUGCAGUUCUAUCUCCAGCGUGGUGUCCUCCAUAGGAUUUAGAGUGACACUUGCGUAGGAUUUGCUCCUAUUCAUGCUCAGGCACACAACGUCUAAUAAUACCAUCUACUCCUUUAUAAAGGUGUGGAUCAUCCCAGAAGUAAUGUCUUAAAUCAUAAAAGAACUUUUUCUUUUGCUGGUAUGUGAAACUAGGCGGUAUGUAUUUAGAAACAAUGUAAUUAGCAUAGUCGUCAUACCAAGGAGCAGUACGAUAAGCAUUGACAACCGCUAAUUGUCCAUCAGGAAAACUAUCAUUAAUAGGCAGUGGGUCAUCAAGAACAUUCUCUAGCCUAGACAAGUUGUCUGCAACAGGGUUCUCAGCUCCCUUUCUAUCAAUAAUAUGCAAGUCAAAUUCUUGGAGCAAGAGAACCCAUCUAAUGAGUCUAGGCUUAGCAUCUUUCUUUUCCAUAAGAUAUUUAAUACAAGCAUGAUCAGUGUGAAUAGUAACUUUGGAAUCAACAAUGUAAGGUCUAAACUUAUCACAUGCAAACACAACUGCUAAGAAUUCUUUUUCAGUGGUAGCAUAAUUUCUCUGGGCAGUAUCAAGAGUCUUACUAGCAUAAUGGAUAACAUUCAAUUUCUUAUCGACUCUAUGCCCUAAAACAGCACCUACAGCAUAAUCACUAGCAUCACACAUAAUUUCAAAAGGUAAAUUCCAAUCAGGUGGUUGAACAAUAGGUGCUAUGAUCAAAGCUUUCUUAAGUGUUUCAAAUGCUUCUACACAAUCAUCAUCAAAGACAAAACUAAUAUCUUUUUGCAAUAAAUUAGUCAGAGGCCUAGAGAUUUUAGAGAAGUCCUUAAUGAACCUCCUAUAAAAACCGGCAUGACCAAGGAAACUUCUUAUACCUUUUAUGUCCUUGGGACAUGGCAUCUUCUCAAUAGCAUCAACUUUGGCUUUAUCAACUUCAAUACCCCUCUCGGAGAUCUUGUGCCCCAAGACAAUGCCUUCAUUAACCAUAAAGUGACACUUUUCCCAAUUCAGGAAGAGACUAGUGUCUUCACAUCUCUGCAAAACUCGAUCAAGGUUGCUCAAACAAUCAUCAAAAGAGUAUCCAUAGAUGGAGAAGUCAUCCAUGAAUACCUCACAAAUAUUUUCACAAAAAUCAGAAAAUAUAGCCAUCAUGCAUCUUUGAAAGGUAGCAGGUGCAUUACAUAAACCAAAAGGCAUACGUCUAUAAGCAAAAGUACCAAAAGGGCAAGUAAAAGUAGUUUUAGAUUGAUCCCCCGCUGAUACAGGUAUCUGAGAGAAGCCAGAAUAACCAUCUAGAAAGAAAAAAUGUGUGUGUUUGGAUAACCUUUCUAGCAUUUGAUCAAUGAAAGGUAAAGGGUAAUGAUCUUUCUUAGUAGCUUUAUUUAACUUGCGGAAAUCAAUUACCAUCCUAUAGCUUGUAAUAAUUCUUUGCGGGGUCAAUUCAUCUUUAUCAUUAGGGACAAUGGUAAUACCUCCCUUUUUAGGGACACAAUGGACAGGGCUUACCCAUUCACUAUCAGCAACGGGAUAAAUAAUACAUGCCUCAAGGAGUUUUAGUAUCUCCUUUCUCACCACUUCCUUCAUUUUGGGAUUUAAUCGUCUUUGAGGAUCUCUAACAGGUUUGGCAUCUUUCUCCACUGAAAUUUUGUGUUGACAUAAUGUGGGACUAAUGCCCUUGAGAUCAUCCAGGGUAUAUCCAAUAGCAGCUCGGUGCUUCUUCAGAGUUUUCAAUAAUCUUUCUUCUUCUUUCCCUGAAAGGUUAGCACUAAUAAUAACAGGAUAUAUUUCUUUUUCAUCAAGAUAAGCAUACUUAAGAUUAUUAGGUAAUGGUUUGAGUUCAAACACGGGAUCACCCUUGGGUGGAGGGGGAUCCCCAAGAAUUUCAACAGGAAGAUUAUGUUUUAGCAUAGGUUCUUGUUUGCGUGGGGGCUGAAGCCUACGACUGCUAACUUUCGGAUUACUUAUAUACAUAUAUAAAAACGGCCGCACAGGGGACACAAUCCUCUUUUCAGGCAAAAAGUAUAAAUAUAGCCUCAUAAUCAAAAUAAACAUUGUUUUACAAUGAUUCGAUUUAUCACUUGAACAAGACAUUCUUCGAGCACUGCGCCUCUAUUAGCCGGGCACCUUCUGUGACCUACGCCAAGUAGUGCUCGGCCGGAUAUUGGCCCCCCGCCGGAUCCUGGGUCGCUACAAUGGCGGCCUCCAUAUCUGUCCAAUAGGCUUUAACGCGGGCAAGAGCCAUUCGUGUACCCUCUAUGCACGCCGACCUCCUCAUGGCAUCGAUCCGAGGCACAGCCCCAAGGAAUUGUUGCACCAAACCAAAGUAGUUGUCCGGCUUAGGCCCCUUCGGCCAAAGAUGGUCUAUUACAGACCGCAUUGCAAGCCCGGGCAGCAUGUGAAGCUCCGCCACAGUAGCCACCUUCUCAUUUAACGGCAGCGGGCGAGUGGGAGCAUUGAAUUGCGAUCAGAAAAGCUUCUCUACUUCCUUAUCACCUUGAUCCUCGAAGAACUUGGCAGCGUCAGCCGUACUAUUCGCCAAGUCCUUAUAUGCGUCGGCCAGACUCCAGCGUCCAUCCAGGGGAGCAUACUUCGGAUCCAAAAACUUCGUCCGUAGUAAGUAGGAGCCCCCAGCCACGAUUUUGUUGGCCUGUUCGAGCUCCUCCCGCAUACCCCGGAUCUCGGUCCGCAUCUCCUUGGUGGCAUUAAGUGCCUUGUCCAGCUCGGCCGAGCUAGCCUUAUUCUCCUCUUCAAGGAGUACAUACCGGUCGGCGGCAUUUUUUAACUCCACAGCCAUUUUGGCUAUCUUUUCCUCGCUUCGGCGAUGAGCAGCCUAUUCGGCUCUCAAUUCUUCGGCCGCCUUUAGGGCAACCGCAUUGCUAGCCCGAGCUUGUUCCCUGGCUUGAGCAAGUUCCGCCCUCAGGGCUUCCACGGCAGCAACACCAUCUGCAGUACAAACACAUUGCAUUAAUAUCAUGCCCCUCCCACAUUUUCCUAUACAAACAUAACAAGGGAAGCAGAGCACAUACCCUGUCACUCUUCCAGCCUCUUGUUCACCAGCGUGAUAUCGGCAUUGCUAGAUCCGAUCUGCCACCUUAAUUCGGCAACUUCAAUAGACUGAUCGGCUGCCGGAUCCUUAGAUACCUGCGCACAUGUACAGCGCAGCCAUUACUAUAUGAUCCCCCGUUUGCCGCCUAUGGCGGGCAACCAGUCUCAGGGGAUACUAUCCAUAUGGAGCACACCUAGCGCGUGCCUCACAACCAAAAAAUAGUGCAUUUUUCACUACAUACCUCAAAGCCUUUGAGAAGGCUCGUAAAUGCCUCAUUCGAACCACUUGUAGCAGAUGAAAUCUUCGUGAGCACCAUGUUCAUUAAUGAGCGGCGCUCCUUCGAGAGUACAGCUUGCUCCUGAAGACUUGUCAGUACGUCCGGCCGGACAUCGAACUGUGUCGGACCAUUUUCAUCGCCCCCCGUGGGAGCCAAACGCUCUGGGCUCAGGGCGACUGACAUAUUAGCUUCCGGCGUCGGCAGAUCCAGACUCCUCCGUGACGACACCUCAGUGUCGCCCGCUUCAUGAGGCGGAGAGGUGGGUGGGGUCUCACUCUCCAUCAUCUCCGGAGGAAGAUCCCCCGAAGACGAACUCUGUUGAGAAGAGCUGCUAGCCGGACUACAAAAGACGAAGUCCUGGUUAUGGAUCUCGGAGAAACACCAUACCUUCGAAUUAACGAUUAACUUACAGCUCGGUGGAGGGCUGGCCCGUUGGUGGGCACGACGCGGUGAGGGUGACCGUCGCGGUAGGGCCCCCUGGUAAUACCUUCUUCCCUUGAUUCGCCAUCUCCGUCUCUAAGUCUUCGGAGGCGGCCCUUUUCCUCCCGCGCGGGAAGGAGGCUUUAGCCUCCCCUUCCCGACUAUCCUCCUCUGGGGAGGUAAUGACUCCCCCGGUUUGGAUGCGUAGUGUGUGAAGUUCGGCUUCACUGCCCUUUUCUUCGCCUUUCCCUGAGGGGAUAUUGCUGAGCACCCGGCCAAGCAUCUUGGCAACGGUUGGACCAGGCGAGCCUUCAGGAAGUGGCGCCAGACACCUGAUUCUCUCCACCUUGUUGAGCCAUUCCUGGCCACGGAGGGUUUUCAGAAUAAUGGUUCGACAAAUAUAAAUGAAGUAUCCGGCUUUAAGGUUACUUACUUGGGCAUCUAGGUGAUUGCAGCUUAGGCCCGCACCCUCGGUGGUGUCCGGGCACUUUACUUGUGGUCCGAAGAAUAAUUUACACAUCCCUUCGAGCUUCAGGCCGAAGAAGUGCUUAAUAGUCUGCGGACCCUCCGGAUUGAACUCCCACAUCCGGAGAGGCCGACGUUUGCAUGGCAACAUCCGUCGGAUUAGCAUCACUUGAAUUACGCUGACAAGAUUUAUGUCCCUCUCAAGAAGCUCCCGGAUGCGAUUCUGCAGUACUGGUACAUCGCCAGCGGGCCCCCAGUUCCGUCCAAUGUCGGUCCAAGACGCCAACUGUGACGGGUGAUGACCCACAAGUGUAGGGGAUCUAUCGUAGUCCUUUCGAUAAGUAAGAGUGUCGAACCCAACGAGGAGCAGAAGGAAAUGAUAAGCAGUUUUCAGUAAGGUUUUCUCUGCAAGCACUGAAAUAGUAGGUGAUAGAUAGAUUUGUGAUAAGAUCAAUAGUAACGAGCAAAAGUAAAUAAAGUGCAGCAAGGUGGCCCAAUCCUUUAUGUAGCAAAGGAUAAGCCUGGACAAAUUCUAAUAAUGAGGAAGGAGCUCCCGAGGACACAUUGGGAAUUACCGUCAAGCUAGUUUUCAUCAUGCUCAUAUGAUUCGCGUUCGGUACUUUGAUAAUUUGAUAUGUGGGUGGACCGGCACUUGGGUACUACCCUAACUUGGAAAAGCAUCCCACUUAUGAUUAACCCCUAUUUCAAGCAUCCGCAACUACAAAAAGGAGUAUUAAGGUAAACCUAACCACAACAUUAAACAUAUGGGUCCAUAUCAACCCCUAACGAAGCAACGCAUAAACUAUGGUUUAAGCUUAUGUCACUCUAGCAACCCAUCAUCUACUUAUUACUUCCCUAUGCCUUCCUCUAGGCCCAAAUAAUGGUGAAGUGUCAUGUAGUCGACAUUCACAUAACACCACUAGAGGAGAGACAGCAUACAUCUCAUCAAAAUAUCAAACGAAUACCAAAUUCACAUGACUACUGAUAGCAAGACUCCACCCAUGUCCUCAGGAACAAAAGUAACUACUCACAAAGCAUAUUCAUGUUCAUAAUCAGAGGUGUAAUAAUAUGCAUUAAGGAUCUGAACAUAUGAUCUUCCACCAAGUAAACCAAUAAGUAUCAACUACAAGGAGUAAUCAACACUACUAGCAACCCACAGGUACCAAUUUGUGGUUUUGGAUACAAGAUUGGAUACAAGAGAUGAACUAGGGUUUGAGAGGAGAUGUUGCAGGUGAAGAUGUUGAUGGAGAUUGACACCCUCCCGAUGAGAGGAUCGUUGGUGAUGAUUUCCAUCUCCCGGAGGGAAGUUUGGUAGGUAGGUACCAAAGUAAUCCCGGCAAGGAACACUGGACAGCGGUCAAGAAUAUCCUAAAGUACCUGAAAAGGACAAAGGACAUGUUUCUCAUUUAUGGAGGUGACGAAGAGCUCGUCGUAAAGGGUUACGUCGAUGCUAGCUUCGACACAGAUCUGGAUGACUCUAAGUCACAAACCGGAUACGUGUAUAUGUUGAAUCGUGCAGCAGUAAGCUGGUGCAGUUACAAGCACAGCGUCGUGGUGGGAUCUACAUGUGAAGCGGAGUACAUGGCAGCCUCGGAGGCAGCACAUGAAGCAAUAUGGAUGAAGGAGUUCAUCACCGACCUAGGAAUCAUACCCAUUGCAUCGGGUCCGAUCACUCUCUUCUGUGAGAACACUUGAGCUAUUGCCCUUGCCAAGGAGCCCAGGUUUCACAAGAAGAACAGGCACAUCAAGCGUCAUUUCAACUCCAUCCGUGAAAAUGUUCAAGAUGGAGACAUAGAUAUUUGCAAAGUACAUAUGGAUCUGAAUGUCGCAGAUCCGUUGACUAAACCUCUUCCGCGAGCAAAACAUGAUCAACACCAGAACUCUAUGGGUGUUCGAUUCAUCACAAUGUAACUAGAUUAUUGACUCAAGUGCAAGUGGGAGACUGUUGGAAAUAUGCCCUAGAGGCAAUAAUAAAAGGAUUAUUAUUAUAUUUCCUUGUUUAUGAUAAUUGUCUUUUAUUCACGCUAUAAUUGUAUUAUCCGGAAAUCGUAAUACACGUGUGAAUACGUAGACCACAACAUGUCCCUAGUGAGCCUCUAGUUGACUAGCUCAUUGAUCAACAGAUAGUCAUGGUUUCCUGACUAUGGACAUUGGAUGUCGGUGAUAACGGGAUCACAUCAUUAGGAGAAUGAUGUGAUGGACAAGACCCAAUCCUAAGCAUAGCACAAAGAUCGUGUAGUUCGUUUGCUAGAGCUUUUCCAAUGUCAAGUAUCUUUUCCUUAGACCAUGAGAUCGUGUAACUCCCGGAUACCGUAGGAGUGCUUUGGGUGUACCAAACGUCACAACGUAACUGGGUGACUAUAAAGGUGCACUACAGGUAUCUCCGAAAGUGUCUGUUGGGUUGACACGGAUCAAGACUGGGAUUUGUCACUCCGUAUGAUGGAGAGGUAUCUCUGGGCCCACUCAGUAAUGCAUCAUCAUAAUGAGCUCAAAGUGACCAAGUUUCUGGUCACGGAUCAUGCAUUACGGUACGAGUAAAGUGACUUGCCGGUAACGAUAUUGAACGAGGUAUUGGGAUACCGACGAUCGAAUCUCGGGCGAGUAACAUACCGAUUGACAAAGGGAAUUGUAUACGGGGUUGCUUAAAUCCUCGACAUCGUGAUUCAUCCGAUGAGAUCAUCGAGGAGUAUGUGGGAGCCAACAUGGGUAUCCAGAUCCCGCUAUUGGUUAUUGACCGGAGAGCCGUCUCGGUCAUGUCUGCAUGUCUCCCGAACCCGUAGGGUCUACACACUUAAGGUUAGGUGACGCUAGGGUUGUAUGAAUAUGAGUAUGCAGCAAACUUAAAGUUGUUCGGAGUCCCGGAUGAGAUCCCGUACGUCACUAGGAGUUCUGGAAUGGUCCGGAGGUAAAGAAUUAUAUAUAGGAAGUGCAGUUUCGGCCGUCGGGAAAGUUUCGGGGGUCACCGGUAUUGUACCGGGACCACCGGAAGGGUCCCGGGGGUCCAUCGGGUGGGGCCACCUAUCCCGGAGGGCCCCAUGGGCUUAAGUGGGAGGGGAACCAGCCCCUAGUGGGCUGGUGCGCCCCCCCCCCCCCCGGGCCCCCCUCUGCGCCUAGGGUUGGGAACCCUAGGGGAAGGGGGCGCCUCCACUUGCCUUGGGGGGCAUCCACCCCCCUUGGCCGCCGCCCCCCCUAGAGAUCCCAUCUCUAGGGCCGGCGCCCCCCCUGGGGUCCCUAUAUAAAGAGGGGGGUGGGAGGGCAGCCACACCCAACACCCUGGCGCCUCCCUCCCCUCCCUGCUACACCUCCUCCUCUCGCAGAAGCUCGGCGAAGCUCUGCCGGAACCCUGCUGUAUCCACCACCACGCCGUCGUGCUGCUGGAUCUUCAUCAACCUCUCCUUCCCCUCUUGCUGGAUCAAGAAGGAGGAGACGUCAGGCUGACCGUACGUGUGUUGAACGCGUAGGUGCCGUCCGUUUGGCGCUAGGAUCUCCGGUGAUUUGGAUCACGACGAGAACGACUCCCACAACCCCGUUCUCUUGAACGCUUCCGCACACGAUCUACAAGGGUAUGUAGAUGCAUCUCUCUCUAUCGUUGCUAUAUGAACUCAUAGAUUGAUCUUGGUGAACAUAGAAAUUUUUUUAUUUUAUGCAACGUUCCCCAACAGUGGUAUCAGAGCUAGGUCUAUGCGUAGUUCUCUAUUGUACGAGUAGAAAUCAAAUCUGUUGUGGGCGUAGAUCUUGUCAACUUGCUUGCCACUACUAGUCUUAUCUUGCUUCAGCGGUAUUGUGGGAUGAAGCGGCCCGGACCGACCUUACGCGUACGCUUACGUGAGACAGGUUCCACCGACUGACGUGCACUAGUUCCAUAAGGUGGCUAGCGGGUGUCUGUCUCUCCUACUUUAGUUGGAGCGGAUUCGAUGAAAAGGGUCCUUAUGAAGGGUAAAUAGAAGUUGACAAAAUCACGUUGUGGUUAUUCGUAGGUAAGAAAAUGUUCUUGCUAGAACCCAAUUCCAGCCACGUAAAAGAUGCAACAACAAUUAGAGGACGUCUAACUUGUUUUUGCAGCAAUUGCUAUGUGAUGUGAUAUGGCCAAAAGUUGUGAUGAAUGAUGAAUGAUAUAUUGUGAUGUAUGAGGUCAUGUUCUUGUAAUAGGAAUCACGACUUGCAUGUCGAUGAGUAUGACAACCGGCAGGAUCCAUAGGAGUUGUCUUAACUAUUGCAUGACCUGCGUGUCAAUGAUUUAACGCCAUGUAAUUACUUUACUUUAUUGCUAAACCGUUAGCCAUAGUAGUAGAAGUAAUAGUUGGCGAGCAACUUCAUGGAGACACGAUGAUGGAGAUCAUGAUGAUGGAGAUCAUGGUGUCAUGCCGGUGACGAAGAUGAUCAUGGAGCCCCGAAGAGGGAGAUCAAAGGAGCUAUAUGAUAUUGGCCAUAUCAUGUCACUACUAUAUAUAAUUGCAUGUGAUGUUUAUUAUGUUUAUGCAUCUUGUUUACUUAGAACGGCGGUAGUAAAUAAGAUGAUCCCUCAUAAUAAUUUCAAGAAGGUGUUCCCCCUAACUGUGCACCGUUGCUAAAGUUCGUCGUUUCGAAGCACCACGUGAUGAUCGGGUGUGAUAGAUUCCUACGUUCACAUACAACGGUUGUAAGACAGUUUUACACAUGCAUAAACACUUAGGGUUAACUUGACGAGCCUAGCAUGUACAGACAUGGCCUCGGAACACAGAGACCAAAAGGUCGAACAUGAGUCGUAUGAAAGAUACGAUCAACAUGGAGACGUUCACCGAUGAUGACUAGUCCGUCUCACGUGAUGAUCGGACACGGCCUAGUCGAUUCGGAUCAUCUAACACUUAGAUGAUUAGAGGGAUGUCAAAUCUGAGUGGGAGUUCAUUAAAUAAUUUGAUUAGAUGAACUUAAUUAUCAUGAACUUAGUCUAAAAUCUUUUGCAAAAUAUGUCUUGUAGAUCAAAUGGCCAACGCUCAUGUCAACAUGAACUUCAACGCGUUCCUAGAGAAAACCAAGCUGAAAGAUGAUGGUAGCAACUAUUCGGACUGGGUCCGGAACCUGAGGAUCAUCCUCAUAGCUGCCAAGAAAGCAUAUGUCCUAGAAGGACCGCUAGGUGAAGCACCCAUCCCAGAGAACCAAGACGUUAUGAACGCUUAGCAGUCACGUGCUGAUGAUUACUCCCUCGUUCAGUGCGGCAUGCUUUACAGCUUAGAACCAGGGCUCCAAAAGCGUUUUGAGCAACACGGAGCAUAUGAGAUGUUCGAGGAGCUGAAAAUGGUUUUCCAAGCUCAUGCCCGGGUCAAGAGAUAUGAGGUCUCCGAAAAGUUCUAUAGUUGUAAGAUGGAGGAAAACAGUUCUGUCAGUGAGCACAUACUCAAAAUGUCUGGGUUGCACAACCGCCUGUCCCAGCUGGACAUUAACCUCUCGGAUGAGGCGGUCAUUGACAGAAUCCUUCAGUCGCUCCCACCGAGCUACAAGAGCUUUGUCAUGAACUACAAUAUGCAGGGGGUGGUCAAAACUAUUCCUGAAGUAUUUUCAAUGCUGAAGUCAGCAGAGGUAGAAAUCAAGAAAGAACAUCAAGUGUUGAUGGUCAAUAAAACCACCAAGUUCAAGAAGGGCAAGGGUAAGAAGAACUUCAAGAAGGACGGCAAAGAUGUUGCCGCGCUCGGUAAGCCAGUUGCCGGGAAGAAGUCAAAGAAUGGACCCAAGCCUGAGACUGAGUGCUUUUAUUGCAAAGGGAAGGGUCACUGGAAGCGGAACUUCCCCAAAUACUUAGCGGACAAGAAGGCCGGCAACACUAAAGGUAUAUUUGAUAUACAUGUAAUUGAUGUGUACCUUACCAGUACUCGUAGUAACUCCUGGGUAUUUGAUACCGGUGCCGUUGCUCACAUUUGUAACUCACAGUAGGAGCUGCGGAAUAAGCGGAGACUGGCGAAGGACGAGGUGACGAUGCGCAUCGGGAAUGGUUCCAAGGUCGAUGUGAUCAUCGUCGGCACGCUACCUCUACAUUUACCUACGGGAUUAGUCUUAAACCUCAAUAAUUAUUAUUUAGUGCCAAGUUUGAGCAUGAACAUUGUAUCUGGAUCUCGUUUAAUGCGAGAUGGCUACUCAUUUAAAUCCGAGAAUAAUGGUUGUUCUCUUUAUAUGAGAGAUAUGUUUUAUGGUCAUGCCCCGAUGGUCAAUGGUUUAUUCUUAAUGAAUCUCGAACGUAAUGUUACACAUAUUCAUAGUGUGAAUACAAAAAGAUGUAAAGUUGAUAACGAUAGUCCCACAUACUUGUGGCACAGCCGCCUUGGUCACAUUGGUGUCAAGCGCAUGAAGAAGCUCCAUGCUGAUGGACUUUUAGAGUCUCUCGAUUAUGAAUCAUUUGACACAUGCGAACCAUGCCUCAUGGGCAAAAUGACCAAGACUCCGUUCUCCGGAACAAUGGAGCGAGCAACCAACUUAUUGGAAAUCAUACAUACUGAUGUGUGUGGUCCAAUGAGCGUUGAGGCUCGCGGAGGAUAUCGUUAUAUUCUCACUCUCACUGAUGACUUCAGUAGAUCUGGGUAUGUCUACUUGAUGAAACACAAGGCUGAGACCUUUGGAAAGUUCAAGGAAUUUUAGAAUGAAGUAGAUAAUCAACGUGAUCGAAAAAUAAAGUUCUUACGAUCAGAUCGUGAAGGAGAAUAUUUAAGUCACGAAUUUGGUAUGCACUUAAGAAAAUGUGGAAUUGUUUCACAACUCACGCCGCCUGGAACACCUCAGCGUAAUGGUGUGUCCGAACAUCGUAAUCGCACUCUGUUGGAUAUGGUGCGAUCCAUGAUAUCUCUUACCGAUUUACCACUAUCAUUUUGGGGAUACGCUCUAGAGACAGCUACAAUCACUUUAAAUAGGGCACCGUCUGAAUCCGUUGAGAUGACACCGUAUGAAUUAUGGUUUGGGAAGAAACCUAAGUUGUCGUUUCUAAAAGUUUGGGGAUGUGAUGCUUAUGUCAAGAAACUUCAACCUAAAAAGCUCCAACCCAAGUCGGAAAAAUGCGUCUUCAUAGGAUACCCUAAGGAAACCAUUGGGUAUACCUUCUACCUUAGAUCCGAAGGCAAGACCUUUGUUGCCAAGAACGGAUCCUUUCUGGAAAAAGAGUUUCUCUCGAAAGGAGUAAGUGGGAGGAAAGUAGAACUCGAUGAAGUACUACCUCUUGAACCGGAAAGUAGUGCAGCUCAGGAAAAUGUUCCUGUGGUGCCUACACCGACUGGAGAGGAAAUAAAUGAUGAUAAUCAAGGUACUUCGGAUCAAGUUGCUACUGAACUUCGUAGGUCCACAAGGACACGUUCCACACCAGAGUGGUAUGGCAACCCUGUCCUGGAAAUCAUGUUGUUAGACAACAGUGAACCUUCGAACUAUGAAGAAGCGAUGGCGGACCAAGAUUCCAACAAAUGGCUUGAAGCCAUGCAAUCCGAGAUAGAAUCCAUGUAUGAAAAAAAGUAUGGACUUUGACUGACUUGCCCGAUGAUCGGUGAGUGAUAGAAAAUAAAUGGAUCUUUAAGAAAAAGACGGACGUGGAUGGUAAUGUUACCAUCUAUAAAGCUCGACUUGUCGCUAAGCGUUAUCGGCAAGUUCAAGGGGUUGACUACGAUGAGACUUUCUCACCCAUAGCGAAGCUGAAGUCCGUCCGAAUCAUGUUAGCAAUUGCUGCAUACUAUGAUUAUGAGAUAUGGCAGAUGGACGUCAAAACGGCAUUCUUUAACGGCUAUCUUAAGUAAGAGCUGUAUAUGAUGCAGCCGGAAGGUUUUGUCGAUCCUAAGAAUGCUAACAAAGUAUGCAAGCUCCAGUGAUCCAUUUAUGGGCUGGUGCAAGCAUCGCGGAGUUGGAACAUUCGCUUUAAUGAGAUGAUCAAAGCGUUUGGGUUUAUGCAGACUUAUGGAGAAGCCUGUGUUUACAAGAAAGUGAGUGGGAGCUCUGUAGCAUUUCUCAUAUUAAAUGUAGAUGACAUACUUUUGAUGGGAAAUGAUAUAGAAGUUUUGGACAGCAUUAAGGCCUACUUGAAUAAGUGUUUUUCAAUGAAGGACCUUGGAGAAGCUGCUUACAUAUUAGGCAUCAAGAUCUAUAGGGAUAGAUCGAGACGCCUCAUAGGUCUUUCACAAAGCACAUACCUUGAUAAGAUAUUGAAGAAGUUCAAUAUGGAUCAGUCCAAGAAAGGGUUCUUGCCUGUAUUUCAAGGUGUGAGAUUGAGCUCGGCUCAAUGCCCGACCACGGCAGAAGAUAAAGAAGAGAUGAGUGUCAUCCCCUAUGCCUCAGCCAUAGGAUCUAUUAUGUAUGCCAUGCUGUGUACCAGACCAGAUAUAAACCUUGCCGUAAGUUUGGUAGGUAGGUACCAAAGUAAUCCUGGCAAGGAACACUGGACAGCGGUCAAGAAUAUCCUAAAGUACCUGAGAAGGACAAAGGACAUGUUUCUCGUUUAUGGAGGUGACGAAGAGCUCGUCGUAAAGGGUUACGUCGAUGCUAGCUUCGACACAGAUCUGGAUGACUCUAAGUCACAAACCGGAUACGUGUAUAUGUUGAAUCGUGGAGCAGUGAGCUGGUGCGGUUGCAAGCAGAGCGUCGUGGCGGGAUCUACAUGUGAAGCGGAGUACAUGGCAGCCUCAGAGGCAGCGCAUGAAGCAAUAUGGAUGAAGGAGUUCAUCACCGACCUAGGAGUCAUACCCAAUGCGUCGGGGCCGAUCACUCUCUUUCGUGACAACAUUGAAGCUAUUGCCCUUGCCAAGGAGCCCAGGUUUCACAAGAAGACCAGGCACAUCAAGCAUCAUUUCAACUCCAUCCGUGAAAACGUUCAAGAUGGAGACAUAGAUAUUUGCAAAGUACAUACGGAUCUGAAUGUCGCAGAUCCGUUGACUAAACCCCUUCUGCGAGCAAAAUAUGAUCAACACCAGAACUCUAUGGGUGUUCGAUACAUCACAAUGUAACUAGAUUAUUCACUCUAGUGCAAGUGGGAGACUGUUGGAAAUAUGCCCUAGAGGCAAUAAUAAAAGGAUUAUUAUUAUAUUUCCUUGUUCAUGAUAGUUGUCUUUUAUUGAUGCUAUAAUUGUAUUAUCCAGAAAUCGUAAUACACGUGUGAAUACUUAGACCACAACAUGUCCCUAGUAAGCCUCUAGUUGACUAGCUCGUUGAUCAACAGAUAGUCAUGGUUUCCUGACUAUGGACAUUGGAUGUCAAUGAUAACGGGAUCACAUCAUUAGGAGAAUGAUGUGAUGGACAUGACCCAAUCCUAAGCAUAGCACAAGAUCGUGUAGUUUGUUUUGCUAGAGCUUUUCCAAUGUCAACGUAUCUCUUCCAUAGACCAUGAGAUCGUGUAACUCCCGGAUACCGUAGGAGUGCUUUGGGUGUACCAAACGUCACAACGUAACUGGGUGACUAUAAAGGUAUACUGCGGGUAUCUCCGAAAGUGUCUAUUGGGUUGACACGGAUCGAGACUGGGAUUUGUCACUCCGUAUUACGGAGAGGUAUCACUGGGCCCACUCGGUAGUGCAUCAUCAUAAUGAGCUCAAAGUGACCAAGUGUAUGGUCACGGGAUCAUGCAUUACGGUAUGAGUAAAGUGACUUGCCGGUAACGAGAUUGAACGAGGUAUUGGGAUACCGACGAUCGAAUCUCAGGCGAGUAACAUACCGAUUGACAAAGGGAAUUGUAUACGGGGUUUCUUAAAUCCUCGACAUCAUGGUUCAUCCGAUGAGAUCAUUGAGGAGUAUGUGGGAGCCAAUAUGGGUAUCCAGAUCCCGCUGUUGGUUAUUGACCGGAGAGCCGUCUCGGUCAUGUCUACAUGUCUCCCGAACCCGUAGGAUCUACACACUUAAGGUUCGGUGACGCUAGGGUUGUAUGAAUAUGAGUAUGCAGCAAACCAAAAGUUGUUCGUAGUCCCGGAUGAGAUCCCAGACGUCACGAGGAGUUCUGGAAGGGUCCGGAGGUAAAGAAUUAUAUAUAGGAAGUGUUGUUUCGGCCAUCGGGAAAGUUUUGGGGUCCACCGGUAUUGUACCGGGACCACCGGAAGGGUCCCGGGGGUCCACCGGGUGGGGCCACCUAUCCCGGAGGGCCCCGUGGGCUGAAGUGGGAGGGGAACCAGCCCCUAGUGGGCUGGUGCGCCCCCCCUCCUUGCCCCCCUGCGCCUAGGGUUGGAAACCCUAGGGUGGGGGCGCACCACUUGCCUUGGGGGGCACUCCACCCCCCUGGCCGCCGCCCCCCUUGGGAUAUCUCAUCUCCAGGGCCGGCGCCACCCCUGCGGGCCUAUAUAAAGGAGGGGGGAGGGAGGGCAGUCGCACCCAAAAGUCUUUGUGCCUCCCUCUCCCCUGCUACACCUCCUCCUCCUCCCGUAGUUGCUUGGCGAAGCCCUGCCGGAGUCGUGCUGCAUCCACCACCACGCCGUCGUGCUGCUGGAUCUUCAUCAACCUCUCCUUCCCCCUUGUUGGAUCAAGAAGGAGGAGACUUCACGCUGAUCGUACGUGUGUUGAACGCGGAGGUGCCAUCCGUUCGGCGCUAGGAUCUUCGGUGAUUUGGAUCACGACGAGAACGACUCCCUCAACCCCAUUCUCUUGAACGCUUCCGCACGCUAUCUACAAGGGUAUGUAGAUGCAUAUCUCUCUCUCGUUGCUAGAUGAACUCAUAGACUGAUCUUGGUGAACGUAGGAAAAAAUUUAUUUUAUGCAACAUUCCCCAACACUCGUGGUGGCGGAGUUUCGUCUCGUAAGCUUGCCCACGAAUUUUUCCAGGACAAAACCCUUCAUAUAGCAGAAGAUGGACGUCGGAGGCCCACCAGGGGGCCCAGGAGAUAGGGGCGCGCCCCCUGUCUCCUGGACAGGGUGUGGGCCCCCUGGCCUAUUUCUUUUGCUCAUAAUUCCUUAAUAAAUCCAAAAAGUUGUUUCGUGGAGUCUCAGGACUUUUGGAGUUGUGUAGAAUAGGUUUCCAACGUUUGCUCCUUUUCCAGCCAGAAUUCCAGCUGCCGGCAUUCCCCCUCUUCAUGGUAAACCUUGUAAAAUAAGAGAGAAUAGCCAUAAGUAUUGAGAUAUAAUGUGUAAUAACACCCCAUAGUGCAAUAAAUAUUGAUAUAAAAGCAUGAUGCAAAAUGGACGUAUCAACGGGGGGCCCGAGCAGAACUCGGGGGCGGCUACCCACUUUGUGCCUCUGGGAGCCGUAACAUAAAACCACCUCCGUUGCCAUACAUCGGAUACUUCCGGGAAAGAGCCCUCUGGCCAUGGGGCAUCGGCAUUCCUGCUUAUUAUGGAACCUCCGCACUCCGCAUGUCGCCCCUCGAUCAUCUUCGGCUUCACAUUGAAGGUCUUGAGCCAUAAGCCGAAGUGUGGGGUGACAAGGAGAAAAGCCUCGCACACAAUAAUGAACGACGAUAUGGAGGAUAGCGUCUAGAGCCAGAUCAUGAAAAUCCAACCCAUAGUAGAACAUGAGCCCCCUCACGAAGGGGUCGAGGGUGAGGCCCAGGCCUCAGAGGAAGUGAGGGACAAACACAACGCUGUCAUUGGGAUUCGGUGUAGGGAUAACCUGCCCUGGAGCAGGAAGCCUGUGCUGGAUAUCGGUGGUCAGGUAUCCUACCUCCCUAAGCUUCGUAAUGUCCUCCUCUUGGAUCGAGGAGGCCACCCACUGGCCUUUUGCGUUGGAUCCGGACAUAUUGGAGGAUCUGGGGCGUUGGAGCUUAGGUCUUGGGUGUUAGAACUCAAGGUGCGAGAAGGAGCAAGGGAGGUGGAAAAGAGGCAUAGGCCUCGACCCCUUUAUAAAGGGGGUGAAUAUCAAGAGUCCUCAGCGCGACCGCUUGAGACUUAUCCAAAAGUACACGGAGUCAUACCAACGGUCGUCGUGGGGUCACACACGCCCAUAUUGAUGAAAGAUCCCGUAAUAAGAGGAACCCGAUCUCUACUUUGACAAGACGUGCCAAUAAAACCGCCUCUCAAUGCGAGUCGAGGUGGGGCAAGAAACACCGGUUCGUGUUGGACCAGGACACGAUGCAAGGACACGAUGUACGAAGAUUGCCAGCAGAACAGAUUUAUCUUAUUUUCCCUGCAAUGGUAUGUGAAGAUCAUUUUGCAGAUCCGGACACGGUCUACGUGUUUGAUUAUUACCUUGGAGUAUUCGGGGAAGGAACCUGCCCUGCAAUGCCGAAGACAAGACUGCGCGCCGGACUCAUCUUCAUUGAAGUCUGGUUCAGGGGCUACUGGGGGAGUCCUGGAUUAGGGGGUAUCCGGACUGCCGGACUAUAUACAUCGUCCGGACUGUCGAAGCGUGAAGAUACAAGACUCAAGACUCCAUCCCGUGUCCGGAUGGGACUCUCCUUUGCGUGGAAGGCAAGCUUGGAGAUCCGGAUAUUGUUUCCUUCCUUGUAACCAACUCCAUGUAAACCCUAGCCCUCUCCAGUGUCUAUAUAAACCGGAGAGGUUGGUCCUUAGAAGGCCGAUCACAAUUACAAUCAUACCAUCAUAGGCUAGCUCUUAGGGUUUAGCCUCUAUGAUAUCGUGGUAGAUCUACUCUUGUACUACUCAUAUCUUCAAUAUUAAUCAAGCAGGAAGUAGGGUUUUACCUCCAUCGAGAGGGCCCGAACCUGGGUAAACAUUGUGUCCCUCGCUUACUGUUACCAUCAGCCUAAGACGCACAGAUCGGGACCCCCUACCCGAGAUCCGCCGGUUUUGACACCGACAGGUGGGGGCAGGGGUGGGGGUGGGGUGGCGGAAGAACAUAGGCGGUGGGGGCGGGUGGUCCGGCCGGCAGCCCAUGCGGUGUUCUAUAUGGGAAGAAUCAGGGACGAUGAAGAAGAAGGGUUAGGAGACAUAGGAUCUUCAUACAACCGCCUGAAAUGGUCGAAAGAUAGUAGGGAGUUGCAUUCUUAAUGCGCUCUGGUUCAUCGUGUGUUGGCACUGCGCAACGAACAUUUUAUUAUCCAAAAUCUGCUUGCUCUUCUUUAGCAUGUUCCUCUUCUGUUCUUCUUUAAUAAGUACUCUCUCCGUUCCUAAAUUCAAGUCUUUGUAUAGAUUCCACCAUGGACUGCAUAUGGAGCAAAAUGAGUGGAUCUACACUCUAAAAUGUAUUUGGAUACAUCUGUAUGUGAUCCAUAGUGGAAAUCUCUACCAAGACUUAUAUUUUGGAAUGGAGGGAGUAUGAUAGUAGUACAGUAUGUUCCUUGUAGUGAAGAUGAGUAGGGACAUUUGCAAUGUAGAGGUCUAUACACUCGGUUGUGAUGGACACUUUGAACUCUUCGGGCCUCUUUGAUUCGUAGGAUUUUGUAAACAUAGGAAUAGGAUUUGUAGUGGCCUGCCCACUUGAAUCCUAUAAGAAUAGCAAGGUAAUGCGGGGAGUUGUGUCGCCUUUGAGAGUUACACUGAUAUUAACUGUACCGCACCUUCAGUUGAAGAGAGCUGGUAUCUGAAGCCUUUCUAGCCGUACCGGCAAUACUAGCACAUAUAUUCCAGCAAGUUCCACUUUGCUGAUUUUACUCUGAUGCUUAUGGUUUUCCCGUUAUAUCUACACUAUGAUCUAUGUAGCUGAUUUGUGUCGCACUAGCAGCAGUCCACUCUUGAAGCUAAACACUGCAAUGACUUAUAAAAUUGGCACCAAGGCAUUGAGUGCCAUUCUGGAUGCAAUUGAACUCAUACGCUCCCCACCUAUUGAUUCUUGUUCAGAAUAUGAUCCUAAUGACUAUUCUAACCUCGAGGAGUCAAAGGCAGAUGGUCUGCCCUAUUCACCUAUCAAGGUUCCUAUUCUAAUUUGGCAAGGUUUUAUUGAUUGCGCGUAUCUUGCAUAUGUUGUCUUGCAUUUCUUAUACUUUGUUGCACCGCUAUCUGCUUAGUUUACUCAUCAUAUAUGUCGACAUGCCAUGCCCAUCCAUUAUCAAUACAUAUUACAUCUGUCAUCAUACCAUGUUUUUCCACUCAAAUGUUGUUCUUGUGCAUCAGCCAUCAAAAAGGAAGAGGGUGAUUGCCGAACCUGAAGGGGCACCAGCAAAGUCCUUGAAAAACAUGGUGGUGCCGGAGAAAUCAGACAGCACCCCACUUAUAUUGGAUGUACAACCAGUGACACAAAACGUAGGACCGACUCCAGUAGACUGUACCCAUACUUCACUGGCCACACCACUAGCCCCACCACACAGGACCUACACUCCAGCAAAAGGUAUACCAAUUUCAGUUGCCAUAGCACCAGCCGUACCACAGAAAAAUCCCACUCCAGCAAAAAGUACAGCAAGUCCACCGGACGAAGACUUAUCCCAAUUGUAGAGAUGGCCAAUUCCUGCAGAUUGGAACCCCAUUCCAGUUAUUCCCAGUUUAAAAGACAAUGCUUUCAAUGUUGUUAGGGACUACAUGCAUAUAUUCCCAUCAUGGGAAGAUUAUAGUGAAGACAAACACCAUUUUCACAUCUUCCUGUCCAACUUACGUGUAAGUGCUAUUAUUCAUGGUUAUUAUUUUCCUGUUUUCUGCUCGUUGAACACAUCAAUGAUUUACAUUACAUUGUUGUAAGUAGGAGAGGGUCAAUCUGGAUAGUCAUGACAAGCAAAGCUUGGUUGUGAUUUUCAAGGAAGCAUUGCAGCAGUAUCGGCUUUACCUGAGGAAAUCACACUUUGAUGGCAAGUCUAUAAAUGAAUUUCCGAUGAAGUCUCCUGUGCUAAAUUUAGAAGACAUUGAAUGGAAAAACCUUGUUAUGCACUGGUCUCGUUCCCAGGAUGAGGUACUAUCUAUGAAAUCAAAUGACAAUUUGAGCUUCUACUUUUUUGCAUGUGCCUUACGGAUAUUUUUUGCAGGAAAUCUACUCGAAAAAGAAUUCCGGUUUGAAAAGAAUGACAGGAUAUCACAAAUAUGUUGCUCGCUGCUUGGCUCUUGUUAGUACAUGUUGUCCUAUAUCACUGUACUUGCAUACAUACCUGGUUCAUUAUGUGACAGCAGUAGGCAUGAUAGCUUGCUUAUCAAUUGUUCACUCCAAAUUAUCUAAUCUGUAUGAAUGGUUACAUUAGAGUAAAAUAUAUCCAAUGCCAAUGAAUUUUUUUAGCUCUGCAUUGUUCUUGUAAGUACUUGUUGUCCUUUAUUAGUGUACUUAUAUUGACAGGUAGUUGUUCAUGCACCAUCACUCUGCAGCUUAUUUUCCUUUGGCCUCCAUUUUCUACACAUCAUAUCUAUAUUUACUCUUACCAUAAGGUUGGAUAACACCGAUGGUACUAAAGAAGUUUAGCUGUGCAUUGCUCUUGGUUGUACAUUUUGCCUGUAUCGUUGUACUUACAUUUAUAGCUACUUGGUUAUGUAGCAUCACUCUUCAUCUUAUCUUAAAUAUUCUCCAUUUUUUUCUUAUAUUAUCACAUCUAUAUUUACUCGUAACAAAAUGUAGAAUAAAGGCAACGCUUAUGAAGAAGAUUUUGUGAUAAACUUCUUGAAUUGCCCCCCAUCAUCAUGGACAAGGGCUUUAUAGAGCCUGUCUUCACCAAUAAUGUAAGUUUGUCCUUCUCAAGCCUUCAAACUUUGUUGUGUAUAUUUGGUUAGGCAUGACUGCAAUAGUUGUUUAUUUUUGGUGUUUGCAUCAAAUUGCAUGUUCAAAGUUUAUUAUGUAGUUCAUAAACAAAAGUUUGUCCAUCUCAAUUUAAGUUUUCAGUUGUACAACCAAGUUCCUUCUUCAUACCAUGUAAAUUAAACUAUACAGAGCAAGUGGUCUUCUUUUGCACUACAUGUAUGCUUCUGUUCUUGAUCCGUAAUCCAGUGGUGUGGUGAACCUACCCACUAUAGCGCAAUGUAAUAUUUUGCAAUGUCUUAACUGUGAACAAUGUCAUGUCAUUCUACUAUUAUUUAAACUGUCUCUUUGUUUGCCAAACUGAAAUGGGAUAAAUUGACAGCACACUAAACAUUGAUACUUAUGAGUUCUUGAUCUGUAAUCCAAUGGUGUCGUGAAGCUGCCAACUCCUUCACAAUGUCAUUUCAUGCCAUGUCUAGACCUGAACAAUACCAUAUUGUGUUAAUGCAAUUUUAAACUGUGUCACUUUAUUCGUCAGUAAGAAAUGCGAUGAAUUGUCAGCACUGAUACUUUUAUGUGCAAAACCUGUCAUAUGUCUGCUUGUUUAUCUUUCAGAGCAAGGAGGAUAUAAGUGUUAAACAAGCACAGUCUCAUCAGCUUGCUCAGCUGCUUGCGCUGCAGCUCCCCAGCAGGGCUAACCUUUCUUGAACUCUAUUGAAGUGUUGUCGCUUUUAUAUAUUAUUUUCUCGGCGUGUUUAUUUGCACUGGUGGCGAUCUUUGAUGCCCGGUGUAUGUAAUCUGUUGUCUGCUUGUGCUUUAUUGUCAUAGUGGCGAAAUUUGAUGCGUAGUGGAUGUAAUAUGCCGUAAUUUAUUUAUUGUAUAGUCUAGGUUUUUUCUUAUUCAUGAUGUUGCAGUUAUUUUACUGUAUAUAUAUAUAUAUAUAUAUAUAUAUAUAUAUAUAUAUAUCAUGUCUUCGUAGUAAACCAGCCAAACUGUAAAAUUACGGUAUAUAAUCGGGCCGUCAUGCAAUCACGAUGUAUGAUCCGCAUCAUGGGCUCCGUCAUCUUGGUCUGUUAAAAGGCCUAAAUGUAAACUGGCCCACUAGUAGAUUCGAGCCUUUAAUAGGCCGAGUAAACCGCCGGCCCUCUUUUCGCAAGAACACUCAAUUGGCUUUUAGGAGGCUGAGAAGUAGGUUAGGCCUGAAACGUGCCGAAUAGCUCACGGGCCGGUAGCAGCCCGAAACGGACCCCGGCCCAUGAUUGUGCGAAUCAAAUCCCGGGCUUUUAACAGGCCAAAAUUGUCUCGGUCCUUAUUUAGCCCAAUCAGAUUAUCGGCUGUGAGCAGGCCGGAUGCAAACCGGGCCGUAGUUAGGCGCAACUAUAUGAUGGGCUUUUAACGGGCCGAAAUUAAUAUAGUAUCAAAAUGUUAAACGGACCCUUAACAGGCCGAAACUAAUAUCAGGCUGAAUUACUAAAUGGGCAUUUAGCAAGUGGGCCCAAAAGCAUAACGUCCAGUUGACGGGCCGAAUCUGAUAUGGGCCAUAAUUUAGCCCAAAGCCUCUUAAAGGGUCGGACCUGAUCUGGGUCGUAAUUUGGCCCGGAACGUGGUAGGCUUUUAACGGGUCGGAUCUCAUAUGGGCUAUUAUUAGGCCUAGAACAUGGAGGCCAUUAAUGGACCGGAUCAAUAUGGCCGACAUUUGGCCCAAAACAUGGCAGCCAGUUAAUGGGCCGGCCUACUAGGGUCCUCAAAAUCUUGUGGGCCUACAGCUGGACCGGCCCAUUAAUGUCGGCGAAAUCUCGUGGGCCUUUAGUUGGUCCGGCCCAUUAUGAUCCGCAAAAAUCUUGUGGGCCUUUACUUGGGCCAGCCUAUUAUGGCCCACAAAAAUCUUGUGGGCCUUUACCCGAGCCGGCCCAUUAUGGCCCGCAAAAUCUUGUGGGCCUUUAGCUGGGCCGGCCCAUUAUGGUCCGCAAAAUCUUGUGGGCCUUUAGCUGGGCCGGCCCAUUAUGGUCCGCAAAAUAUUGUGGGCCUUUAGUUGGGCCGACCCAUUUAAACUUUAUGGGCCAUUUUUGGGUCGGUCCACGUGUCAACAUAUCAUAGGCGCAUCUCACCCAUUGGAUGAGGACACCUGUGGAAACGCGGAGCUGACACGUGUUUCCUCCGGCCAAUGACGAUUUUACACGUGGAAAAUCCCCAUUGGUCCGGGCUGUUAACGGGUUAUCGGAUCCAAAACCGGACCCGAUAGCUUAACGGUGUUCCGUUACGGUGGAUGCCACGUGUCGGUCACCCUUGACGAAAUCACUUCUGUGAUGCGCGAUUUAUCGUCAUGGAAGAGGACACUUCCGUGAUGAUAAUUUUGGUAAUGUCAUGGAACACUUCUACGAUAGCACAUGUAUGACUAUAUUGAUUUUGUCAUAAAAUCCUCAUGGAUGUACAUGCAUGACAAAAAACGCGACCUACUGUGACAAAAACGUAUCAUCACGGAAGUGUACUUUUUUGUAGUGAUAAUUAGAAGUUGAGUUUCGAGAAAGGGUUAGAUGCAAAGAAAUUUAACUCAAAAUUUAAGGAUUUCGAAGUUAGAGAUACCAUCCAUACAGUUACUAAGCUCCCAGGGAAUAGAGGCGUGGGAGAGCUCCAAUGUUUUAUCUAGUGGACUCUGCAUGUCAGUGUAUGAUAAACGGAUAAAGCAGCUACAUGCUGCCAGUUUGGGCCCAAACUAUGGCACCGGAUUUCAUUGUGCGAGACGAGGAAGAGGGAGAACUAGGUUAUGUUUAUUACCACGCUGCAAACAUAGUAGGGGUCCAGAGGACGAACACCUAUAAAACCCGACCUCACUGGUGGGGCUUUGUGUGUAGCCUAGGUGAAAGUGCAACUAUCCCUAGGUGGUUUUGGUAAUUCCUAACAACAUAUAGCUCAUUGAGCUAAUACUAUUCCAAGACAAAUAUUUCAGGAAAUCUCAAUGAAUAGCAUGGCAUGGAUGAGAAAAGUGGAUCCCUCAAAAUACUAAGGAUUAAAGGAUUGGCUCAAGCUUCAAGCUCAAGACUCUACAUUUUAUAUUUUAGUGAUCCAAGAUCACAUUGAGUCUAUAGGAAAAGCCAAUACUAUCAAGGAGGGAUGAGGUGUUGCUUAAUGAGUUUCUUGCUUCAUAAGUGCUUAGUGAUAUGCUCCAAAACCCUCAACUACUUUCCCACAUCCACAUAUGACCUAAACCAAAAGUCAAACUCGGCCCCACCAAUUAUUUCUAUCCGGCGCCACCGAGUUCAGAUGUCAUAGCCACUGCCACAAACCAUAGGCAAAUCGGUCUUACCAAUAGGGAUCUCGGUCUCACCGAGAUGGGAUUGUAAUCUCUCUGUUUCCCAUCGUAAUGUUUCGGUCUCACCGAGAUGAGCGAUCGGUCCCACCGGGAUUGCAAUGUAAACUCUCUGUUUCCUUUUCGUAACAUUUCGGUCUCACUGAAAAGAGCGAACCGGUCCCACCGAGUUUACCUGACCAGCUCUCUGGUUAGCUUAUUACCAAAAUCGGUCUCACCGAGUUUGUGUAAUAGGUCUCACCGAGAUUACGUUAUGCCCUAACCCUAACCAUAUCGGUCCUACCGAGUUGCAUGUCGGUCCCACCGAAAACCCUAACGGUCACUAGGUUUACUAAAUCGGUCUGACCAAGUUUGUUGAUUCAGUCCCACCGAUAUUGAUAAAUUGUGUGUAAUGGUUAGAUUUUGUGUGGAGGCUAUAUAUACCCCUCCACCUCCUCUUCAUUCGUGGAGAGAGCCAUCAGAACAAACCUACACUUCCAACUUACCAUUUCUGAGAGAGAACCACCUACUCAUGUGUUGAGACCAAGAUAUUCCAUUCCUACCAUAUGAAUCUUGAUCUCUAGCUUUCCCCAAGUUGCUUUCCACUCAAAUCUUCUUUCCACUAAAUCCAAAUCCUGUGAGAGAGAGUUGAGUGUUGGGGAGACUAUCAUUUGAAGCACAAGAGCAAGGAUUUCAUCAUCAACACACCAUUUGUUACUCCUUGGAGAGUGGUGUCUCCUAGAUUGGCUAGAUGUCACUUGGGAGCCUCCGACAAGAUUGUGGAGUUGAACCAAGGAGUUUGUAAGGGCAAGGAGAUCGCCUACUUCAUGAAGAUCUACCGCUAGUGAGGCAAGUCCUUCGUGGGCGACGGCCAUGGUGGGAUAGACAAGGUUGCUUCUUUGUGGACCCUUCUUGGGUGGAGCCCUUCGUGGACUCGUGCAGCCGCUACCCUUCGUGGGUUGAAGUCUCCAUCAACGUGGAUGUACGAUAGCACCACCUAUCGAAACCACGGCUCAAAAAUCACUGUGUCUCCAAAUUGCGUUUGAAAUCUCCAAACCCUUCCCUUUACAUUCUUGCAAGUUGCAUGCUUUAUUUUCCGCUGCUCAUAUACUCUUUGCAUGCUUGCUUGAAUUGUGUUAAGAUUGCUUGACUUGUGCUAAUUUGCUAAAAUCUGCCAAAGACUAAAAUAGGGAAAAGGUUAAGUUUUUAUUUGGUCAAGUAGUCUAAUCACCCCCUCUAGACAUACCUCAAGAUCCUACAAGUGGUAUCAGAGCUUUGGUAUCCAUUUGCUUUGAUUUCCAUAGCUUUUGGUGGUCAUAGCCUUGGUUUCACAACCUAGGAGAGUAUGGCGUCUAGCGAGGGAAACUACCACCGUAGAGGUCCUUACUUUGAUGAUACUAAUUUUGCUAGUUGGAAGCAUAAGAUGAAAAUGCAUAUUCUCGGACAUAACCCCGCCGUUUGGGCUAUUGUGUGUAUUGGCUUGCAAGGUGAAUUCUUUGACGGGAGAGAACCAAACCAUGAAGCUAGCACGAAAGAGUUGAAGAUGCUGCAAUACAACGCUCAAGCUUGUGAUAUCCUCUUCAACGGAUUGUUCCCUGAAGAAUUCAACAAAAUCAACCAUUUUGAGAAUGCAAAGGAAAUUUGGGACACUUUGAUUUAUAUGCACAAAGGUACCGACUCCGUCAAGGAAUCCAAAUUGGAUGUGCUUCAAAGUCAACUUGACAAGUUCAAGAUGAAGGAUGGUGAAGGCGUCGCUGAAAUGUACUCUAGGCUUGCUCUCAUCACAAAUGAGAUUGCCAGCUUAGGAAGUGAAGAGAUGACCGACAAAUUCAUCAUCAAGAAGAUCCUAAGAGCCUUGGAUGGAAAAUAUGAUAUUGUAUGCACAUUGAUCCAAAUGAUGGCCAACUACAAGAAUCUCAAGCCAACGGAGGUCAUCGGAAGAAUUGUUGCUCAUGAGAUGUCGCUUAAGGAUAAGGAGGAGUUGCACAACAAGUCAAGUGGUGCUUACAAAGCCUCAUGUGAAGCUCCCACAUCAUCAAGUGAGAAGCAAACCUUCAAUGAAGAAUUGAGCCUAAUGGUGAAGAACUUCAACAAAUUCUACAAGAGUAGAAGCAAGGAAAGAAGUUCCAAGUCAAGGUCCUACAAUGACAAAAGAUCUUCCAGUCGAGACCGAAAUUUCUACAACUGUGGAAGACCCGGACACUAUUCCAAUGAGUGUACGGCUCCCUACAAAAGAAGAGAAGAUUCACCUAAGAGGAGAAGUAGAAGAGAAGAAUCACCGCCAAGAGAGAGAAGGAGUAGAGAUGAUCAUUAUAAAUGAAGAACAUACCGGAGAAGCAAGGAUUCAGAAAGGAAGGACAAGUCAUCAAGGAGCUACACAAAACUAAGACAUCAAGCUCAUGUUGGUGAAUGGGUAUCCGGUUCCGACUCUGAACAUCACUCCGAGAGAAGCUAUCACUCCGACUCAGAACAUACUCAAGAUGAAGGUGUUGCCGGUCUAGCACUUGUGUCAACCAACUCCCACGACAUAUUUGAUUCACCAAAUGAAGGACUUGGAAGAUGCUUCAUGGCUAAAGGCCCAAAGGUAACACACCCCGAGUAUGUUGAUUUCAAUAGUGAUGAAGAUGACUUGCUAGGUGAUGAUGAUUUACUUAUUGACAACUCUAGUGAUGAAUACUAUGAUGAAACAUCAAUUAAUCAUGCUAAUCAAGAUAAAACGAAUGACGAUGAUAAGGAUAAGAUUGAGCUCAUAACUAAAGAACUAAACACUCUUAAGUUAGCUCAUGAAACUAUCUUAGGGGAUCAUCGAGAACUUUUAAGGACUCAUGAGAAGUUACACUUUGAAAAGCUCAACCUUGAGCAAGAGCAUGAGUUCUUAAAGGCAAUCAAUGAUGAUCUUCCCAAGAAAAGUUCUUCUUACAUUGCCAAGCGUUUACUCUUAUCUACUUACAUUCCCCAAGUCAAGUCUAGUAACAAAAACAAGAAGGAUUCUUCCUCUAGUAGUAACAAUAAUCAUGCUAAAUCCAAUGUUGUUGCUUCUAGUAGUUCUCUUGAUUCCACUAAUGAUUCUCUUAGCCAAGUUACACUUGAGCAAGAAAAUAGCUUAUUGAAGGGAAUUAUAGAGAAAGGUGUUUACAAGAGCCCUGCCGGAAGUAAGCAAUUCGAAGAAAUUGUACGCAAGCAAGGAAGGCACUAGAAGAACCAAGGUGUUGGUUUUGAACGAAAGUUCAAUGCCAAUGGAGUUGAGUGGGAAGAAGAUCAAUACCCCAAGACGAAGUUUGUUCCUCAAUGAGAGAAGUAUGAUCCUACUUCAUUCAAAGGGACACAAGCUCAAGAUGAUCUUCCACCACAAGACCACAAGCAAAAAGGCAAGGAUGAGCUUCAAGAGGAGAUUGAUGCAUUUGAAGAAGCUCCCAAGGCCUUGGUAAAGUGGAUCCCCAAGACUACAUCAAGCUCUACUUCAUCAAGUACGACUACAACUCCAAGGAUUCCCAUCAACAUGGUGUGGAUCCCGAAGAAGAAGAACUAGAGAGUUCUUGAGGGUGACUCCGCCAACAUCCUUCACUCAUAUCAUUUUGGCAAGGACAAGUGCAAUCAACUUCCACAUCUUGCACUAGUUCAAGGAGUCACAAACCCUCUUGUUGGUAAGACAAGGGACAAGGUAACCUAAUGCUUUCAUAGACAUCAUCUUGUGUGUGCAUCACUCUAUGUCUAUGGAUAUCCUUGUUUGUUCCUUGUGGGACUAACCCGUGUACGUAUUGAAAGUGCAACUCACUACAAAGGAUUGCUCCAAAUGAUCUACAUCAACAUUGAGCAUCCACAUCUUCAGCACCUACAUGAAGUCAUCAUCGACAAAACCCAAGGUUAGUUCAUCCCUCUAUAAGGGGGAUCUCACAUCUAGGGGGAGAUUUACUAUAAGAAUUGAGCUAAAGCAACUCUAAUGGUGUGAACACAUCAAUGCAUUAUGUAAAAGUGGUAACCCCACUUGAGCUUAAACGAUGAGUAUGACCUAUGAUCAAAUGUUCUCAUUUGACUCCUAAGUCAAUAUACUCAUAUAUAGAUGACCUAGUCAUCGCCAAUUGCUUGAUAGAUGCUAGAAUUAGUUGUGCAUGCUUUGCCACAUAUUUCAUUUGUCAUUUAUUGUGUGAGCAUGUUGAUUGCAUAUUUUACUCAUUCGAGGACAUCCACUUGUAGUUUUGCUUGUUUGGCUUCUUUUUCUUUUGGCCAAGUGGAUGGACAAGAAUGCCUAAGAACCUUCUCUAGCUAUCUAUGCUUUUCUUGUCUCAAACUCUAUUCAUGCUACAUCACAAAAAUUGAUCAAGUCAGAUUCUAACCACUCUGUGUGAGGAGCACUCGGAGUCCCCGUUUCGUCAUAGACUUAAACUUCCAAAACUUCUUUGUGCGUCUCGGUCCGACCGAUUCUUCCAUUUCGGUCAUACCGAGAUCACUAAGUCGAUCUAGGUUUUCAAUCUCGGUGCAACCGAUUUGAACAUUUCGGUCUCACCGAGUUGCAGUAAUUGCUUGCAGUAAUGCAUCUCGGUGCCACCGAGUUGUUCCACUCGGUCACACCGACAGGGUCGGGCUAUAUAUACCCAAGGGCAAAAAAUUUGGAAAUUUCUCCGAACAGUUUCGCCCGCGCUCAGCCCACUCUGCCUCCAGGGUCUCCGGAUCGUUCUCCUCAUCUCCAGCCGCCUCCCGCCGCUGGUAUCCGCCGCUGUCAAUGGGAAUCUCCACUGCCGUUGCCACCGUAGAAAGUCCAUCGCCGAGCUUGGGUAUGGACUUGAUCACUAUGCUAUUCUAAUCUGAUUCCUAGCACAUUGUGUUCGUCAUGAAUCUUGCCACGAUUGAAACUAUCUCAUCUAGUCAAAACUAUCCGUAGAUUAGGUUUGGAUUGAAAAUUUAGGGUUAGGUUUCCGCCGAAACCAUCUUGGAUCCACCGAGUUGUAGAAAUCGGUUCCACCGAUUUGGCCAAGGCCAUUGCACUUGUGAUUCUCAGUCUGACCGAGAAUUGCAAAUCGGUGUGACUAAGAUCAGAACUUUGUGAAACCCUAGCAGUCUCGGUGCCACCGAACUAUGACUCGGUCUGACCGAGUUCACUAGUUUAAGUUCCUAAAGCUGCUUCGGUAUCACCGAUUUCACAAAUCGGUUGAUCUGAAAUGCUUUCUGUGGAAAACUAAAACUAAGUUUUUAACUCAAUCUUUUGCAAAAACCUCUGUAUUUUGCGAUGCUUAUCCUCUCUAUCUCAUCUACAUCUAUUCACAGGGUCAGCAGUCAGUGUUUGCAACAUUUCUGAUCAAAGUGACAGCCAGAACAGGGAAGAGGAGCAGAUUCCUACGAGUGAGGGCACUAGUACCUCUAGUUCCUCAGAUGAGGGCAGCAGGAGCACCCCAAGCAACUUACCCAAAGCUGCCACCAGGAACAGGAAGAAGAAAACCUCAGACUCUGAGGAUGAAGACUAUGUGGUAGAAGAGGAUGAAGCCACCUCCAGGAAAGUGCUCAAGAAGGAGUAUGGCACUACUGCAGUCACCAAGCCAGGUCUGAACAGGAAAGUCCCUGCCAAGAGGACUCCUAUGCUGAAAGUCAGAGCAUCAACUCAGGAAACUGAGAGAUCAGAACCCAAGGAGCCAGUAGUGGCUGAAAAGAAGAGGAAGGAAAGGGUCAAGAAGACCAUGGCCAGGGUUGUUGGGAAGCCUUCCAUGAUGGAGGAGGAGGAAGAAGAAGAGGCUGCUGCUCCAGCUCCCAAAGCUCAGAAGCUCAUGGGUGAUGCCAUAAGAUCAGGGGCUGCUUCAUCAAAGCCCAAAGAAGCACCUAAGGCUGCUUCCAAGCCCAAGACUGCACCAAAGAGGAAUACCAGGAACAUCCCAGCUACUAAAAAGAACAAGGCCCCAGUGCCUGAAGUUGUUGCAGAAGAAGAAAAAGAUGAAGAGCAUGUUCUGAGAAAGCUGAAGCCUAAGAUUCCAGAUCAUAACGAUGUUCAUCCGGUUGCUGAGAACAUGAACCUGAGAAAGGAUGCAGGACUCAGAUAGUGGAGGUUAACUGAUCCUUAUGCAGUCAGGAGGAGAACUGCUGUGGACUACAGGUUCCAUACAAAGGAACAUCAGGACUUCUAUGAGACUGUGCUGCUGGACAAGAAACCAAUAGUCUGUGAUAUGAGAUGGGUAGAUUGGAAAUACAUCAAGGAGAAUGAGGAACACUACCCAGGAGUGCUUGACAGCUUCAAGGGUUAUGGAGUGGAUGACUUUGUUGGGCAGAAGCUCACAAAGUGGAAUGAUGAGCUAAUAAUGCAAUUUUACUCCACAUCACACUUCUAUCCAGAUGGCAGAAUAGUUUGGAUGUCUGAAGGUACAAGGUACCAGUCUACUAUUGAAGAAUGGGAAAAUCUGAUCAAUGCACCAAAGGAGAAAGAGGAUGACUUGGAUGUCUAUGCCAAGAAGAAGAUGGAUCACAACUCUAUGGCACACAUGUACAAGGAGAUCCCAGAUGAUGCUCUUGAGACUCACAAGUUUGGGUCUGUACAUUUUCUUCUGUCAGGACUGCCAACUAUCAACUGGAUCCUCAGGCACACACUCUUGCCCAAGUUAGGUGAUCAUAACAUGAUCAGAGGCCAUGCUAUUAAUCUGCUACACUUAUUUGAUGUGCCUCAAAAGUUCAAGGUGAUGAGCCUCAUUGUUGAAACAAUCAAGAGGACAGCUGCACACAAGAAGAGAAGUUGUGGGUAUGCCCCCACAGAUCCAGGAGCUGAUUAACUCCAAGAUGGGCACUGGCACUUACUUGUUGUACAAGGAUAACAUGCCUAUCUAUCCAGACUUUGAGGACAACCAAGUGGUUAUGGAUGAAAAUGAACCAUCUUUAGUGCAAGCACAAGCGAAGAAGGAGAAGGCAAAGACUGAGAAGGAUGCCAAGAUGCCAACAAUUGAUGAGGCAUCUGAGUACUUCCUGAAGAGCAAACAAGACCAGCUUGGUUACUUGAUAGCAUCCACUCUAAGGGUUAAGAAAGGGUUGGCCACCCUAACUCAAACCAGGAGAGCCUGGAGAGGAUCAUGGAGCAGAAGUUCUAUGACUUGGAUGUGAAAGUAACUGAGAUCCAGUAUGUUGUUGAGCAACUCCAAGAUGGCAUGCAGGAGAGGAAGGGGAAGACAACCACUGAGGCAUUUGCUAGAGUGCCUAGAGCUCAGAGAUCAGCUGCUGUGCCUGUGACAGAGACAAGAGCAACAUCAUCUGCACCUGCUAUAGCUUCAGUGCCACCAGCUCCAGCAUCUACUCCACAAGCUCCAACUUCAUCAACUGAUGCCUUCGUCCUUGGAGUCAUAUGUACACCACCACAUCAAGACCAAGCCUGAGAGAUGACAUAGUCCUAUGCAUUUUCUAGGAACUUUUUGGUAACUUGUUGCCAAAGGGGGAGAAAGAUGUAUAGAUCAUAGGCUUCGAGAGAGAGAGAGUUUGCUUUUGUUCUCUCUUGUCUUUGUGGUUGAACUUUAUUUGCUUUUGCUUGCUUGAGAUACUUUAUUGCCUGUGUGAUACAAUGAUGAUCAUGUGUUUGAUCAUAUGCUACAUUAAUGCUUGUUGGAUGACAUUAUCCACUUUAUCUCUAUACGAUCAUUCACUUUGCUUGGUGAUGAGUGCAUGUAUUUUGAGUAUUAUCAUUUUGAGUGCUCCACCAAGAUGUAUGUGACAUGGGAGAGUAACUCAUGAACCUAACUCUAUGUGCAUUUGCAGUCCAAAGCAAAUCUUAAACUAUGCACAAAUUUAGGGGGAGCUCUCACAUUUCACAUACUUCUCAAAGCGAUGAUGUUUUUUAAUCUUAUUAUCUUUUGUCGAAGCUUUGAUCUAUAUGUUGUCAUCAAUUACCAAAAAGGGGGAGAUUGAAAGUGCAACUAUCCCUAGGUGGUUUUGGUAAUUCCUAACAACAUAUAGCUCAUUGAGCUAAUACUAUUUCAAGACAAAUAUUUCAGGAAAGCUCAAUGAAUGGCAUGGCAUGGAUGAGAAAAGUGGAUCCCUCAAAAUACUAAGGAUAAAAGGAUUGGCUCAAGCUUCAAGCUCAAGACUCUACAUUUUAUAUUUUAGUGAUCCAAGAUCAUAUUGAGUCUAUAGGAAAAGCCAAUACUAUCAAGGAGGGACGAGGUGUUGCUUAAUGAGUUUCUUGCUUCAUAAGUGCUUAGUGAUAUGCUCCAAAACCCUCAACUACUUUCCCACAUCCAUAUAUGACCUAAACCAAAAGUCAAACUCGGCCCCACCGAUUCUUUCUAUCCGGCGCCACUGAGUUCAGAUGCCAUAGCCACUGCCACAAACCCUAGGCAAAUCGGUCUUACCAAUAGGGAUCUCGGUCUAACCGAGAUGGGAUUGUAAUCUCAUUGUUUCCCUUCGUAACAUUUCGGUCUCACUGAGAUGAGCGAUCGGUCCCACCGGGAUUGCAAUGUAAACUCUCUGUUUCCUUUUCGUAACAUUUCGGUCUCACCGAAAAGAGCGAACCGGUCCCACCGAGUUUACCUGACCAACUCUCUGGUUAGCUUAUUACCAAAAUCGAUCUCACCGAGUUUGUGUAAUCGGUCUCACCGAGAUUACGUUAUGCCCUAACCCUAACCAUAUCGAUCCUACCGAGUUGCAUGUCGGUCCCACCGAAAACCCUAAUAGUCACUAGGUUUACUAAAUCGGUCUAACCGAGUUUGUUGAUUUGGUCCCACCGAGAUUGGUAAAUUGUGUUUAACGGUUAGAUUUUGUGUGGAGGCUAUAUAUACCCCUCCACCUUCUCUUCAUUCGUGGAGAGAGCCAUCAGAACUAACCUACACUUCCAACUUACCAUUUCUGAGAGAGAAUCACCUACUCAUGUGUUGAGACCAAGAUAUUUCAUUCCUACCAUAUGAAUCUUGAUCUCUAGCCUUCCCCAAGUUGCUUUCCACUCAAAUCUUCUUUCCACCAAAUCCAAAUCCUGUGAGAGAGAGUUGAGUGUAGGGGAGACUAUCAUUUGAAGCACAAGAGCAAGAAGUUCAUCAUCAACACACCAUUUGUUACUUCUUGGAGAGUGGUGUCUCCUAGAUUGGCUAGGUGUCACUUGGGAGCCUCUGACAAGAUUGUGGAGUUGAACCAAGGAGUUUGUAAGGGCAAGGAGAUCGCCUACUUCGUGAAGAUCUACCGCUAGCGAGGCAAGUCCUUCGUGGGCGACGGCCAUGGUGGGAUGGAAAAGGUUGCUUCUUCGUGGACCCUUCUUGGGUGGAGCCCUUCGUGGACUCGCGAAGCCGUUAUCCUUUGUGGGUUGAAGUCUCCAUCAACGUGGAUGUACGAUAUCACCACCUAUCGGAACCACGGCUCAAAAAUCACGUGUCUCCAAAUUGCGUUUGAAAUCUCCAAACCCUUCCCUUUACAUUCUUGCAAGUUGCAUGCUUUAUUUUCCGCUGCUGAUAUACUCUUUGCAUGCUUGCUUGAAUUGUGUUAAGAUUGCUUGACUUGUGCUAAGUUUGCUAAAAUCUACCAAAGACUAAAAUUGACAAAAGGUUAAGUUUUUAUUUGGUCAAGUAGUCUAAUCACCCCCUCUAGACAUACUUCAAGAUCCUACACUAGGCGUUUCACUAUAGCCCGACAUGGCGUGCCCUAACUAAAGCAAGUUAGUGAAGUUUGAUUUAUUUUUGCUUGUGUUAACAACUGAGCUCAAGCCGUUCAUGAGCUGUGGGGCGAAACAUUGCCAGAUGAACUCAUUGUAAGCCAUCUCUGAAAUACUAAGCUCCAAGGAAUAUGGCCCUCCCAUUGAGGUAAAAUUUUAGAGGCAAAGCCGUCUCUUAAGUGCUAAUUUUAGAGGCGCGUUGAGGUAAUUUUUUUAUGUUCCUCCUAAAUUCAUGAAUGUUUUAAAAAUUUGUGAACAUUUCUAACUUUAGAAAACUUUUGUUGAAAUCCAAGAAAUUUUUCUAAAUUCAUGUACUUUUCAAAUACGCGGACACUUUUAAUUUGUGAGGAUUUUUUUUUAAAAUUCAUGAACAUUUUCUAAAAUUACAGACAUUUUCAAAAUUUAUGAAUAUUUUUAAAUUCACAUUUUUAACAGUGUUUUUUCUAACUUCACGAGCAUUUUAUUUUUUUGAAACAAUUUAAAUAUCCUCUCUAUUUUUCCCCAUGUUUUCCUUUCUCUUUCUUUUUUUCUUCACCUCUUCGGAUGGGUGAGGUCGAGGGAUAGGACAGCCAACUGAAGCGAGCAUCGUGGGUCGGCACAUUUGAUCGUCCUUUGACGUGUUGCAUUUUUGGUUAUUUUGCUGUGGGGAGGGGCGAUCUGGUUUUCUGCUUUGUGCAUUUGUGAUGGGGUCUCCCCAGCAAUCUUGCUGGUUCUGCAGUGAGAAAUCGGGUCACCGGUUUGUCCGUCUUCCCGUUGGGCUCCUCGAGCGAUACAUUUGUGAUGAAAGACUCACGGUGUGCUAGCGUUGGAGAGAGCUAGAACAGAAAAAUCAGACGUUGUAGGAUAGCGAAGCUAACAUGAGAACCCAUCGAAGAGUGGGGAAGCUAGAGAAAAUGGAGACCCAUUUCAAUUAUAUGGUCUGGUAGUAUGAAAAUUGCCAAUACACCCGAACACAAACAACUAGCGAUGGAAACAUUGAACCGAACACCAUAAACCAAAUAAAUAGGAAUAUCGAUCAACUCUAGCUUGGCUUUGAUUUUUGGAGUAGUAAAAGAAUGGCGCAGCAAAGCGCACAUUAGGCUCUAGUAGGGAGCUAUAAUUUGAGAGAAGUGGUAGAGAUGCUCUAAAGUGGACAUUUUGAACUUCCAAUCCAAGCAAACAGAGGUAAGGAUAAGACCUAGAUGUUCUAGUACUUGUAGAAGAAUAUACUUUUUGCAGGGUAGUAAUAGUAUGGAAGAACUGGUUUCAUUAGUUGCUAACUGCAGCAUUCAAAUUCUUUUCAUUUAUGUUCAUGCUUUGAUAUUAAGCCGAUUCAUAUAAAAUAAUCAAUAUGUCAGAAUCAUAGUCGUAAUUAUAGUGGUUAAGAAGAUCUAUCUGUCUACAUGUUGUGUCUCGCCAACAUUUCAAGGGUCACGUGAUCAACAACGCAUGGAUACAAAGAUGCUAGCAUUUUCUGUCGAAAAGCUUCCUGAAAUGCGGGUCACUCUCAAUCAGAUGGCACAACUUUAAAUGAAAGUGACAUUGCUUUUUUUUGUGAAGUCCCGACCAAUGAAACAUCUUGAUUAUCUAAGUACUCACAUAAAUAAAAUUAAGGUCCAUUCCACCAAGUGGUGCCAUCUGCUUAUGUGGUAUGACAAUCACUUGAACGGCCCCUGGUGAAUGCCACAUAAUUGUGGGCACUAACAGUAAUAGCCAAGAUCUGUUCUGAUACUUGCUGAAAUGCCACUGGAAAUGGUAAUCGAAAUUUAUGUGGUCUGCAUGCGAGUUGGCUUUGAUGUCGGUUUCAGAAAUAUUUCGAUCAUAACUGAGAUCAUAACGGUGCUCGGGAGUAGGGCUAUAAACUGUGAGUGUUAGGGGCCUAAACUGUGAGCGCUAGGGGGUGGAUGGAGCAGAAUGUAUUCACUCACAGACACACUUAUGCCCAGUUCUUUUGAACAUAUUGUGAAGAAUCUCGUCCUGGAAAAUCCUGAGCGAAAAGAACUCGAUUUGCCUUCCAAAAUCUCAAGUGGAUUCUGCAGAAUCCUAAUGCAACUCAAAAUCCUCGAAAAACAUAGAUUUUCGCAGAAUCCCAGGAUUCUGGUAAGUCCCACCAAAGAAAACGUUUCGGAUACGAGUUUACCCCUAUUGGAGGGAUAAUUUACAGCUAAACUGCCCCUUUUGCACGACCGAACGGCCCAGCAACCGCUCGAUCCCCAUGAGCGCUAGCCGCCGCUCCGCCCGCCGCCGUCGGACGGGAGCUCCACCAGCCCGCCACCGGCCACCCCCUGGCCGCCCAGCCUACACGCCGGUUCUCGCCUCGGGGCAGCCCCUCUCCUCACGACGGCCCGCCUCGCCGCCGCCGGACGGGAACUCCGCUAGCGCCCCUUCUCACGACCCUCCGGACGGGAGCUCCGUCAGCCUCGCUCCUCUCGCCCCCGCUGGAUAGGCAGCCUGCCGCCUCUGGUCGCCUCUGGCCGUCCUGCCUAGACGCCCGACGGGAACUCUUCUUCUCUGUCUCGUCUCUCUUCUACCUCUAUAUUCUUCCCUGUUUCUCUGUCAACAUCUAGGUGAAUAGAUGGAUGGAUAGAUGCAUGUAUUGAUAAAUAAAUGGUACUGCUAAUGCAUUGAUGUAUGUUUAAAUUUGUAUCUGUCGCUUGACAAUUUCAAUUUGGUACUGCUACGGUGCUCGGUAAUUUUGGUAUGGGCUGAUGAAUAGAUGCGCUGAUGGCUGUAUGUUUUAGAUGGAGAAAGUCGGUGCAGCUAAAGCUAAAGUGUUAAUUCAUUAAACAUUUUCUGUCUAAGGGCACUAUAGACAUUUCGCCACACAACUGAAUCCACAAUCUCAAACUACAAUCUCAGAAAAGAACUGGGCGGCAGAUUCUGUGAGAAAUUUCUAGAAUCUUGAUUUUGCAGAAUCCACCACGAAAAGAACUGGGCCUUAGACCCGUACAAGUCUCACCUCAAAAAGAAAAAACUUAGACCUGUACAAGUAAUACUAGGCUUUAAAGUUGAAUGCUUGAUUGACAAUUUUUUUCUUUUAGAAAAGAAGGAUGACCCCCGGCCUCUGCAUCUCGGAGAUGCAUGCAGUCACUUUAUUGAUUAUUGUCGAAGACCUUACAAAGUAUUACAACAAUAUGCCUGAAUCCGCCAUCCUGGCAACAAAUGCCACUACUAUCCAUAUGAGGAAGGGGUGCUAGCUGGGCCAAAUACCCAAACCACUCGCCUAAGCCUGUCAUCAAAAGCUGGAAGCCCCAGCCGAGCCACAUAUCGGGUCUAGGGCACUAAGCGGUCUGACGCACUCACAUGUGUCGUCGCCGCCAUUUUCAUUGGUCCUUCAGAGCAAAUAUUGAGGCUUCUACCUUAUCAGGCCACUCCGCCAUCGACGCCACCAUGACGCCAGACAGCUACCUCCUCCUGCGCGAGUCCAUCACCGUAUCGGCUGCCGAGUCUCCACUGCGCCAUGCCGCCGAGAUCCGUCGCCUUCAAUGGGCAGGAUGAAACACCGCUCCACCAAAGAAGCCGCCCACUAGUCCCUCGAUCCCGUGUACGCCUCCAAGAAUGACGCUCCCAAUGAGGAAACGAUAUCAACACGCCACCGUCAUCUGAUCUACUGAUCUAGGGUUUCCUCCGGAGGUAGCGGAUAGAGAUCUGGAGCUUCUCCACGGUGAUGCCUUCAGGAAGGUAACGAUAUAAAAGAGUGUCGCCAUUGCGGGUCUUGGCAUCAAGCCGAGAACAAGAUUUUCACUCAGAUCCGCUCGAAGAACCUUCAUCAAGCAUUGUGUGCACGGGUCGCCGCUGAUCUGAGCCGCCGCGCAUCGAGCAGACCGCACCGGCCAGAUCAGAUAUGUCCGGAGGGCAAACCACGCAUAGCACCGACCCAACCACCAGGCCCUCCAUGCCGCCACCGCCGAUCUGAGGUUCGAUGGUCCGUCACGGCAGACCGCCGCCGCCAAAUGCAGCCAAGGCCACUGCCCAAAGCAGGGCCUGCCGCCGCACUCGCCACCGUCGCCGCCCUAGGCCGAGGCGACCGCCGCGCCGCUGCCGGUCAAGGCAUGCCCGCCACGCCGCGAAGGCUAGAUCGGCUGUGCCACCACACGCCGUGGGGCUCCGCACCGCCCCCAUGGCGCAGGAGAGAGGGGAGGCCCCCGCCACCGCCGUCAGCCCCCGGGCUAGGCCGGCGGCGUCCUUCGAUGGUGGCGGAGGGAGGGAUGGAAGGACGGGGAGCCCCCGACGGCUAGGGUUGUGACCCCGCCCGAGUCGCUCGAGCGGGGGCGACGCGGGGGGGGGGAGCGGGAGCGGGCGGCACCAAUCAUGGACUAUGGUCCACCAUGGACAGAUGACCCAGCCCUACACAUCAUAUGCCUUGCUAUCGUGGAGAAAGAAGGUAAAAAAUGGUUGCCUACAGGCCCGAAUGGGUCCUGCAAGAGUGCAGGUGCUUCGUCAGAAAAGAAGAAGGGAAAGAGAAGGAGGCAAAAGCAAUUGAUCAAAGUGGACUAGAUGAGAAGUUAUUGGGUAUCACAAAAAAGAUGGAGAGAGAGAGAGAAGAGGGGAACACAAUGGGCUUGGUAAAUGUAGUGAUUCACAUCUCUGCUCCUAAUCUAGAUGAGCACUCAGCAGUAUAUUAGUGCAUCCAUAGUUCAUGCCCUUACGGACGAUAUGGUCCUAGUUACCUCAUUGCUUAUAUCAUGUACUAAAUGGCAUCACUGGUGGCCUCAUGUCCUAGGAUGAUGUCAUUGUUGACUUCACAGUAACAAACAAAAAUGGUUUGCCGACUUACUCCUUUUGACAGGGUUUGUCUCCACGAUGACAACAAAAACAACUAGCUAAUUGCCCGUGCAUUGCAAGGGACGCAUACACAUUCUAGUGGUUCAACACUAAUUAUAUCUGACAUAUGGCUCACACCCAUCAUAUUCUAGAUUUUGACAAGAUUUAAUUUGAUUUAUUAUGGCUAGGAGGAUGCAAACAAUUUUUUUGAUUUAGUUGAGGUUUUGGUAAGAUUUGGUUUGAUUUAGUUAUUCGUCGGGGAAGCAAAGGAAAGUUUUGUUUUAGUUGUAAUUUUGGCAAGAUUUGAUAUCAUUUUAUUUAGUUAAUUUAGGGCAUCAUCUUGGGAAGUACUGUUUCGGUUUAGAUUAUUUCAAGUUACUCUAUUUAUGUUGUUUUUAGUUUUGUGCAACAUGGGUUGAGAGUACCAAAAAUUAACAUAAAACCAAGGAGGGAGAGGGUGCAUGAGGGGGAAAAUGAGGGAUGAGGGGAGUCAAGGGGACCAACUCUUCUUUAAUAGUAGAGAUUUUGUCAUAUACUAAAUGACAUCACUGCUGACCUUAUGUCCUAGGUUGAUGUCAUUGCUGACUUCACGGUAUAAAAAUAAAAAUGACUUGCCGAUUUACUCCUUUUCAGGGUUUGACUCGACCAUGAUGACCAAAACAAGUUAAUUCGCGUGUGUUGCAACGAAUGCAUACAUUAUUCUAGUGGUUCAACACUAAUUAUACAUGACAUAUACAUUACACCCACUAUAUUCGAGAUUUUGAUAAGAUUUAAUUUGAUUGAGUAGGGAUAGUGGAAUGCAAGAAAAGUUUUUGAUUUAGUCGAGGUUUUCAUAAGAUUUGAUUUGAUUUGAAUUGGGUAUUCAUAAGCAUAAGGGAAGGAAAUGAAAGUUUCGAUUUAGUUGUGAUUUUGCGAAGAUUUGAUUGAUUUAAUUGAUUUAAUGCAGUACAUGAUUUUAGAAAAUGGUCGAUUUGGUUUAGGUUAUUUCAAUUUAUUCAAGAGUCUGUUUUUUUUAAGUAGAGAACUAGUGAUUGACAGAGGAUCCGAAAUGCUCCGCAAAAUAUCCCGAAUGAGUCCAAAGGCUGCGACAUGCUCAGAUCUGACGGCACGUACCCACAAUCUCCAGAUAUUUCGCCUCUCAUCCUCCUCUUAUACCCUGCCACUCACACUCCCCCUUAUCAUCAGUCUCCAGUCUCCACCCAUCUCAGCAAAAAAGAAGCUAGCACAGCUCCACACACCAUGGCAGCCAUGGCCACCACCGCCUCCAGCCUCCUCAAGCCCUCCUUCUCCGGCGUCCGCCUCCCGGCGGCGGCCCGCACCCCGUCCUGCGUCGCCACCCCGCGUGCCGGCGCCAUCUGCAACUCCAUCUCCUCCUCCACACCUCCCUACGACCUCAACGCCUUCAAGUUCAGCCCCAUCAAGGAGUCCAUCGUGUCCCGCGAGAUGACCCGCCGCUACAUGACCGACAUGAUCACCUACGCCGACACCGACGUCGUCAUCGUCGGCGCCGGAUCCGCGGGGCUUUCCUGCGCGUACGAGCUCUCCAAGGACCCCUCCAUCAGCAUCGCCAUCAUCGAGCAGUCCGUGUCCCCCGGCGGCGGCGCCUGGCUCGGCGGCCAGCUCUUCUCCGCCAUGGUCGUGCGCAAGCCGGCGCACCUCUUCCUCGACGAGCUCAACAUCGAGUACGACGAGCAGGAGGACUACGUCGUCAUCAAGCACGCCGCGCUCUUCACCUCCACGGUCAUGAGCCGCCUCCUCGCGCGCCCCAACGUCAAGCUCUUCAACGCCGUCGCCGUGGAGGACCUCAUCGUCAAGGAGGACCGCGUCGCCGGCGUCGUCACCAACUGGGCGCUCGUCUCCAUGAACCACGACACACAGUCCUGCAUGGACCCCAACGUCAUGGAGGCCAAGGUCGUGGUGAGCUCUUGCGGCCACGACGGGCC